rnacentral:lncRNA from 1 species
UUCUUUUAACUUGUAUGAUGCCAUCUCAACCCUAUCAUUCCUAGUGACCUACAUCACCUCAAAUAUAUUCGUGAUCUCAUCUAAGAAAUUCUGGUGAUCCUCACUAGUCUGUGAUCCUAAGAACUCAGGAAGAUUCAUUCAAACAAAGUCACAUACCCUGGAUGCUAUUGAGCUACCAUUCCCAUUCACAUGAGGUUGAACCCACUGAUUGUUCUGGUUGGCGACACUCUAAGCCAACAUCUAAAUGGCAUUCCUGAAUUUAACAUUGGAGACUUCCUGAUCUGGGACUGGAGGAGUUGCGUUUGCAUUCCCGGCAUUCACAUACCUAGGGUUAGCACUACAAGGAGGCAUGAUCUAAAACAUAGAAUGUAGAUUUAGAAUGGAAUUAGAUCAUGCCUUACGAAUGAUAAGAGUGACAAGAAAAUGAAUUUUUUCCUAAAACACUUCAUAUACUCCAUUUCAUUAAAUGUGGUUGUCAUAUCUAGGAAUACCCCCUAGACGUAACCGUCGUCGUCGUUCUCUUUGAGGACUAAGACUAGCCUCUUAGCUUACAUCAUUACAUUCAUAGGGAAAAAUUAGUGGACAUUUAAACCUUCUUACUACUUUUACAUUGAGGUUUACAUAGACCUCUACAUACACAUAGUAUAGUUAUAUCGAGUAUACAUAUACCCUUCGUAUAGGAAGAUUACUUAGUUUUAUAUUUUUAUUGCACAUAGAUAUAUAGAAUAUAACAUAGUCUCAAUAGUCGUCUCAUUUUUUAACCAUCUAACACGAGUAUAACAACUUGGGCCCAACCCAUAUAUUAAAGUAAUAAUUCCUCAUAUGGGCUAUGCAAUGCUUCGUACUAAAUGGAAAGGAAAGAAAAAUGAAAGUCUUAAACUUAAAACAACUCCAUUUGCUAGACAGUGGCAUCACCCUCGAAAAGUGAGGACCUACCCCAGUUAGAUUAUUAAGAGAUCCAAGUCUUCUUCAAGUCGUCUCCAAAAACCCUUUCAUGACCAAAACCUAAAAUGUUGGGGGAAAAUAAAAAAUGGGGUUAUUUCUCCAGUUGUACUAAGUAUGAGACCAUAUGCACAAAUAAUAUCGAAUCAUGCUUUAAAGGGACAUUUCAUUAAGUACGCAAUUCACUUUGAAAACCUUUUAUGGACAUACAAAGAGACCAUACCAAUCACUAAGACAUAUUCAUUAAGUCAUAGUCAUGUACAUCACAAGACCAACAACAUCAACUCAAGUCAACAUGCAUAUCAUAUAUUUGAAUACAUAGUCAAGUUACUCUAUCAUCAAGUCAUAAUAACCACAAACAUGAAUAAGAGUAAAUUUCAACAUAACCCAAUCAUACCAUUACUCAUGACCCUCUUGAAGUCCACUUGUGCAAUAACUAAGCAGAGCACCAUAACCUUACUUAAUCAAGUAAACCUAUCAAGAACCAUAACCAAUGUCCAACCUCACAUAAUCAUAACAUUAAGGUGCAUUAUAUCGUAGUUUAGCAAUAUAGACCAAGUACACGUUCAUAAGAGUAAUUAAAAUCAUAUUGUGCAUUAACAUGCAAUAUCAUCACAUACAUAUCAAUUAUUUUUAUAAGCAUAUACAUACGUAAGAACAACCUCCUAAGUCUUCCUUCAAGGCAAACUGGUGCAAGGCAUAGGUAGAGUCCCAUACCCCUACCUACGCUAUGUCAACCCCUCAAGUCACCCUAGUUAGUUUAUACUUCAUUAAUUCAUUUUAGUUUAGGGAACACUUGCCUCAACCGAUAUAGACCACAAGAGAUAAGUGUGGAAUCCGGUGUGUAAAACCUUACACCGAAGGAACGUGGUCUAUCAACAAAAGUAAAACCAAACAUAAACGUAGCUUUCUAGGUGGAUCCACUAGCUAGUCUUCCUAUGGGGGUUACAUAAUUCAAGAACUAAGAGAUAGGAACAAUCCCUCCACAUACAACUUGGCAAUUGGGGCCUCCUCUAAUAGGAAUCCAAUGGAUGAUUAUCCCUCAUGGGGAUUCAACAACACAUAUGGAACUAUAUAAUGAAUCUUUUUCUAAAGAAAGUCAUCACCUCCUACUGUCAAGUUUACUCGGUGCUAAGAUAAGUCCCCUUUUGAAAUGUAUUUAAUGUCUUUAUUAAUCAUCAUUAAUUAAUGUAGGUCAUAGGGUAUAACCCUUGUAUAAUCAUCAUCAUCAUCAUAGCUCGAUAAGAAUUGAAUGAAUAUAAUACUUUCAUUACAAUUCAUAUAAGUGAGCUUAAAAUAUUUACCUAUCACUUCAUAAUAAGUCACAUUGGUAAAUCAUUCACCAUCCUUAUAACAUUUACAUAUUAGACAACAACUCAUAAAUUAUAGUCAAGACAUUUCAAUUCAACAUCAUACCAACCCUACAAAUCCUAAUACAAGGCAUACUCCAAUACAAUAUCAUGACUUAAUCACAAUUUACCAUAAUUGAAGUAAAUAAUAGGGUUCACAAGACUUAACAAGUAUCCUUUAUAAUUCAUCAUCAAGGUCUUACCAUCAACCCUUCAAAUCAAGUCAUAUCAUUAUUUAUCAAUAUCUAACAUGAUAACAAAGUCAACUGAAUCACUAUAUCACAAUUCAUCACUAGUUCAUAGCUUAAGAUAAGGUACUUAGGUCAAUUCAAAACAUACUUCAUCACCUAGAUCAACUUUUCAUAGAAUGAUAGGGAAGUAACUCAUCCUAAUUUAGUCAUUAUUUAUACAAAGUCAUCUUAGGAUAUUAAUUCAACCAAUAACCAGUUCACUUGAAUCAACAUUACUCAAUUCAUAUCAAGAUCACAACCUAGGGUUAAGGGGAAUUGGUCAUUUUCUAUAAACUAGACCAAUUCAUCAAGACAUAAAAUAAUUGAGUUAAAAUUCAUGUUAAUCUAUCCAUAAUAUCCAAUAUAAAUCAUAAAAAUAGAAAUUCAAAACAUCGAUUUCGUAUUGGAAGAAAACCCACUUGAAAACCCAUCUUUUGAAAUCAAUUUGAUUGAACCCUCUUAGGAAAGAGGUCUCAAAGGUUAAAGAGAUCCCAUACCUUACUAAUUGAUGAAGGAAACACACCUAUAGCUUGGUCUUCAAUGGGGAUUUCUUUGGGAGAGAGAAAGAAGAGAGAAGGAAGAGAGUUUUGGGUUUGGGAAUUAUGAGAGUUUUGGUUAGGCUCAUUAGGUUAAGACAUUAUAUAGGAGGUUAACUAAAUUAAUUAGACCUUCACUAAACCUAUUUAAAUUCCUAACAAAGACAAGUAAUAAAAUGAAAUAAUUCAAAAAAACGUGCAGCAAAACAUAGGCCUCACAGACAAGACCACGAUCGACAGAUCGUUGGUCAAUCAACGAUCACUGCUCCCUCCAUGCUUCACAUCCGUCUCUAAUUUCAGAGAGUUGUAAAAAUUACCCUUUGGACAAAUUGACUAAGUGUUCAUCCACUGAGGCAAUUGACGCCCUAUCGAUUGGACCACGAGCCUUUUGUGGCAUCCGUUGGUGACACUAUUCGUUCACAACUUUUAGUCAUUUUUUCAAGGGUCCUCCUUAAGGGCCUUUGGUUGGUCCUUGGAGAGUCGUGCCCGGACGUUUCAACUAUGAACUAACCUAAUAUGUUUUAAACAACCUUCUACCAAUUUUCUUAAUUUUGCGACUCCUAAAAUCUAGUCAAAUAGGCUAAGGCACUCUAGCAUCUCAUUGACUAGUUUUCGGACGUCAUGAACAUUCUUGGAUGUUUUGAUUUCUAGACUUCCUAAAUGACUUAUAUUCAUUAAAAUAGACCUUAAAACAACGUCUAAACGUUAUUACACUUAUGUUAGGCUCUAGAAUACGUCUUCGAUUUUUGAAGUGUUAUAGUGGUGCAAUUCAUACCCAUAAAAAGGACUCUACUUAGUGCGGCUUUUCAGACAUCUUAGGAAACUUAAACCUAGUUCUAUGAUACCAAGUUUGUCACGCCCUGAGCUACCCCCGAGAUGUGGACACAGUACCUAGGACCACAAAUGAUCCCAAGCUAAACUUGUUGGCAUGAUCAUGAGCAUACUAAAGAUAAUAAACUGAUGCGGAAGAUGAAAUCAUAAUUUAAAAUGAAAAGAUGGGGAAAUACCCAUAUAUUAUAACUGAGAUAUUUGAAAACUGUGAGUUUAAUACAAAGAAAAUAUUAACUCAAUACUAAGCUGAAACUAACUAUAUCUGAAAUAAGCUUCUAAAUGACUGGAAAUGUUGGGUCAAGCCCGAGCUAAGUCUAGCAAAAAUUGAAACUAAAUGACUGAAAUGAACUCAUGACUAUUUUCCUCGGCAAAUGAUGACUCACCACUGAUUCUGCUGAAUUGGAGAUCAGGAAUUGAUCUAAGCAUGAUUUGGAUGCCAAAAACCUGAACCCACAUCACGAGAAAAUGUAGCGCACGUAUGCGUCAGUACUUGAAAGGUACUGAGCAUGUAAGAUAGAGUAAAGCUUAAAUAAAACAUAAGUGAUCAUGCACAAAAGCAAGUAAAAAAGUUUUGAACAUGAUAUACUACAUUCUGAGCUAACUGGAUGCAAUUAACAAAUUUAUAACAUGGUGACACUGAAUACUAACUGAACUGUAAAUAUGAUCAAUGCAAGAGAGUGUGACUGAAUUGUGGGAGCUAUUAAUGAUCGAUAAUAAAACCAUAUGACCUAAAUAUGGAGUCCGAUGUAUAUGCACCAUCGAGAGGACCCAAUAUAACCUUCCAAAGGUAUAAAGGCAUGAUGGAGUGAUCACUAAAUUGAUGCCCACAGAGGGGACUUACAACCUACGUGGCUUGUAGUUCUAGGAAUAUUGGUACGCUAAACCCUAGUCCAACUAGGUAUUAUGCUACUCCUAAUGAAUUAAAUGACUAACAUAUUAUGACUGAAUUUCUGUCUAAAUAACUCAAAACUGAACAUGCAAACUUAGAAUGCAACUAUUAGUAUAAUAAUGAUGCAUUAAUAUAUGAUUCAUGUAUAUCUUAAGUAACUGAAAUAUCUGAUCUAGAAUGUGUAAUUCAAGAACUAAAGAAAUACAUAGCUAGGGUUUUGGAAUUCAUGCGAUAAAUUGAAUAAUAACUUUACAAUCUGAUUUGGAACAUAUAUUUCACUUAUUCUAAUGACCAGCUAUAAAUCUAGAAACCCUAAGUUGAGUCGUGAUAAGAGAAUUAAGAACUGACUGAAAACUAGAGAUUUAAUGGGUGAAGGGAACCCACUAGUGAAAUCCCACACACAUGGUGAUGAAAUCCACGGAGAAAUAUUUAGAUUUCGGGGCUGGAAUUGAUGGAACCUUGCUGCGUUCUUGAACUAGGGUUCUUGACCUCUUCUUCUUUUUGCUUCUAAUUUUCUAUGUUUUGAUUUAUGAUUUUGACUUAGGUAAGUUCUUGUUACGUUUUUAGGAUUAAAUAGACAAAAAUCUGAUGAUUUAAGGCUUAAAUGACGUAUAUUAGGGUUUAAAUGAAUUAGGAAAAGACCAAAAGAGCCCUUAAAAUUUUGCUAUCAAACCAAACAACGACUUGGACUGAUGUGUUCUUUUUGCUAUCAUUUCAUUGGUCAUGGGACACCUAAUUCAUUUUGUUCCAAGUGUUAUGACCAUUUGAAGUUGACCAAGCAGAAUUUAUACCCUAAUUGACUACAAAGUUUCACCUACGGUCCGUAGAUCAAACAACGGUUCGUGAUGGUCAAUCGUGGUUCUUAUCAGAGGUUGGUGUAAAUGUGUUCUUGAUUGACGAACACAAACUACAGACUGUAGUUUGACUUACAGACCAUAGGUCUAUCCAUGGAUCAAUACUUAGCCAAUUUUAUAAACUGAGUUUUUGAUUGUUUCAGUGGAAAACAACGGAUGCGCAGUACGGGCCAUAGAUCAGAGUACGAUCCGUCGAUAGUGACCUUCGUUGCACCUGUAGAUUUUUGAAAAAUUGAUUUUUGGUCUAUUUUGGAUAUGGGGUGUUACACAUGUACUUCUUCUAAGCAACCUUUGUCAUAUGCUUGUUCCUCAUUGAUUAGACGACUCCAUGUGUCAUUAAUCAAAGUAGAAUCAGGAGUAGCAUUCAUGUAUGCCUUUCAAACUUUUUCCCAUCUUCAUAAGUAUGGUUUAUAUCUCAAAUAACGUAUAUGAUUCAAAAUAUUUUUCAAUUAACUGUAAAUCUUCCAAUUUAAAUCUCUUUCGUUAUAAUGAUGUUAUAUCUUAUGAUAAAAUUUCAUAGUUGCUCCUCCAAAGUUUAGAUGAAUCAAACACAUGACAAUGAAAUAUAUCGUCACAAACAGAUUUUUCAGCUCAUAUCCUGAUGCCUAACAUUCAUCUUCAAUCAAGCAGUUAUUCCAUUCUUUAUCAUCCUCCAAUAAUUUCAAUCUGUAGCAUGCCUCCUUAUAAUUAUCAUACUAGACUCCAUUAAUUGUAUUAUGCUUUGAAAGGAAGUGCUUCUUUUCACAAAAUUAAGUAACAUUCUCACGUAAAAUCGUUCUCCACAUGCAGAAUGCGCGAAGUAAAUUCUACCAAUUUACUUCCCCUUUUUUCUUCUAGUUCUAUUUUACCUUUUGCAUCCCAGUGUUAGUUUUAUGAUGGUCCAUCUAUGUUAGUUUUUAUGGCUCACGUUAAUAUCGUUUUUUUAAUAUUUAAUUACUAACUGAAUUCAAAUUCUAAUUGGAUAAGUGGAGAAAUUACUUACAUGUGUGGAGAAGUGGGGAAGUGGGAAGUUAAUCCAACUACCAGUUAAGUCUUUCACUUUACCCAUUACCUCUUCCAACUAUCCAUUAAGUGGGGAGUUACUUGGUAGUUUUAAAACUACCCAUUAUCUCCUCUAAUAACCAAGAUGGAAAUGUGGGAAUGAUGUUAAACACACUCUAUUUAAAAGGGUCCUCUCUCUGCCAUAAAGAUAUAGUAUUAUCCAUCAAAGCAAUUCAUAAAGUAUAAGGCAAGAGAGAGAAACAACUUUUGAAGAACCAAAAGAAAAUGGCUGAUUCAUGUAUAUAUUCAUGACUGAAUUAUUAUAGUAAUAUACUUAUGUGAAAAUCAUAUAGUUCAACGAUCUUGAAUUAAUUGAUAGGAUCUUUGAAUGCUUAGAUUGUUUAUGUUUUCAGAAUCAUUAAAAUCCUUACACCUAUAGCCAACAUGUAGGAAAACUGAAUAUGUUACGUCUCUCGCAUUCUCAUAUUCCUUGUUCGCCUCAAAUCAUUCCGUGAAUUUUGUUUUUACUAUAUCAGGUCUGUUUAGUAUGCUUUCAGGAUACCUUUGUUCUUGAAAUACUAUGGUGUUUUCUCCGAGUAAAUAGAAUGACAAACACUCAACUGCUGACACUCUAUAAUGUAUGUCAAAUUUAAAGAUCCUCCAGCAAGCUUUUGUAGUUGAUAUGUAUCUACAAUAUAGAUAUAUUUUGAUCUCAUCAUGUUUUGUGGUAGUAUCUAAUCAAUCUCUACCGAUUUUUGCUCUAUAAGAACCCUUAUAGACAUAUUUAAAUAGAUACUUCACCGAUCUUGAGUGAUUUCAUAACUCGUCAUUUAUAGGCGCAUAAAAUUUGACAAUCAAAUUCCUAUUAUAAGGGAAGACAAUUUGUUAUCUAAAAAGAAAUUAUUUUAUUGACUUUUGUACCUGUGUUUCUUCUCCUAUAAAUUGAAAACCCAUAUGCAUCAAAAGUUGUUUGAUUGUCGAACUUCUUUGGGAAAUGCAUGCUGCACUUUCCCUGUUUCAUACAUGGGCAUCCUGGAUUGAGGUCUCCACAUAGUCCGUGCAUCAUGUAGUUUUUCACAGCAUUAUAACCAUCAUGAUGGACAUCCAUAUCAGGUAUUUUAGCUAUUAUCAUUGUGUUUAUAUGAUCUAUAGAUGAAUUUUUUAAUGUGGGAUGCAAAAAGAGCAAUGUAUGUGCAUGAGGUAAAACUUUUUUUUGAAGCUCAAUUAUAUAUGAACCUAUAGAGUUAAUGGUAUAAUGUGUUUGUUAGGAUGCCAAAAAAGUAAGCAUUUGUUUUUAACCAAAAUGGAAACGCUUUAAUUAAUAACUGAUGCAUUAUGUUAGUAUGUUUAAGUUUGAACCUACAUGUGAUUAUUUUUCCAAAAUGUUGUUGCCUUUUCAAAUCUUGCAUCAGUUGGAAUAACUUGAUUUGGAACAUUCUGCAUAUGAUGUCCACCUAGUUAUCGUCAUCAGAUUGGUCAAUUAAGCAAUUUUUUUAUUUUGGGACACUUUGAAUUGUAUGUGAAAAUGAGGAACAAAUCUAGAUAUCCAGCCCACCUACAAAUUGCCAUUUCAUCUUGAUAAUUUUGUGCCUAAAAGCGAGGUCCUCCAAUGUGAGAUGCUGGCAAGAUAAUCGUUUUUCCUAUCAGUGAACAAUAUGAAUCACCAUGAAGAAUGACAUCCAUUAAGCAAGAGUAAAGAGCAACUCUGAGUUUUGUUUGAGUAUUUUGAAUAUAACGAAAUCUUUCUUUCUUGACUGUCAUGUAAUUGUCAACAAUGUAUUGUUGUAAUAGUUUACCAGCUAGUAAGAGAGUCUUACCCUCGGUAAGCCUUUGUAGUACUCUAAAACAAUAGAACUAUCUCAUCGAUAAUUUUUGUCGCUUGUAAGUCUUUUAGAUCACAUUUGUCACAUUUAUUCCAGGUCUAUAUCCAUCUUUGCCAUAUGGGUGUAUUAAGGGGUAUGUCAUAGGCAUAAAACUUUGAUGUAGAUUAGUAAUUUUUUGAAGUUUAUUUUUUUUCCGUUACUUUACAAUUAUAUCUCGCUGGAAAUUUUCUUCCGUAAGAUCACCUACUAUUAAUCUAGCUACUUUAGAAGUUGUGGGUAUAUUAUAUUGCUGACCAUCUGUUAUCCUGUUAGAUAGGAUACAUAGGCGAAAUUCACAUUCAGGAUGCUCUUUAUAUCUAUCCUUUGUCGUUCAAAAUUUUUUACCAAUAUAUUUUACUCGUUCAACAUUUAAUCUAAGCCAUGAACAAUUUUGAGAUCUAUGUCUCCUUGAAAUAGACAAUUCAUUAUGCUGUUUAUCUCAUUUUUUCAGUAUCAUAUAUAUACAUAUAUAUAUAGCUGAGCAAACUGCCUUUUUAUAUUAAUUUCAGGCAAUAAAGAUUCUAUACGAUGAUAAUUUUGAUCGCUUAUCUUGAAAACAUAUGGUCCCUUUGAGCGAUUGAUAGAUCCAUCAACUUGGUCACCGAUGGAUGUAAACACAAAUAUUGAGUUGUAAGCCUUGAUAUUUUUUCAAAAAUUCAUACAUAGUUGUCCUGAUUUUGUACCCAAAAGCUACAUGAGACAAGGUGGAAGUUUGCUCAAUAAAAGAAGUUGUACACGACCUCCUUCCAUAGAACAAAUGAGAAUUUCAAUUUUGUUGUUUCUAUAGUUUUUGUUGUCCAUUAUUCAUACUAUAAAAUAACUCCAUUAUAUUGACAUGUGUUUGGGGGCCAAAAUUUGUUGUGUAAUGGCAUGUCAAAAUUGAUCAUUUAAAUAUAAGCAUAGUCAUUCUAUAUGUAAUUAAUAAUUUAUUUAUUUAGUUUCUGAUAUGAACAAUAAGUUGAACUUUGAAAUUUAGUUUACAGAUAAAUGAGGAUGUAUAUUAACUCGAUGAAUGGGAACAUGUCCGCUUGAAAAGUUUGUCAACUUUCCCAACUCUGUGAAUCUAUUCACAAAACGUAUCAUCUAGAUUAUUAAUUUUUUGGAAUGUUCUUGUAUUGUUUUUCAAUUAAACCAACCUUUUUCUUCAAUCUGGAAUAGUUGCAUUUGUUGUUUUUUAGAGAGGCCACUUCUUUUUCAUUCCACUACACUUGUUUUUUGAUGCAUUUGCAUUUUCUGUUAGUUUUAGCAUUUGUUCUUGACAAGAUAAUUCUAGUAGUAGCUAUUGUAGGAGGUUAAUUUCUAUCAAAAUAUUCACUGAGCCACUGUAUUAUUUAACAAUAACAUAUAACAAUUCCAUUGAACCUGUUAAAAUUAUUUUGGUAGAAUAGAAUAUGUUAAAAGAAUUUUUUUUACCGUAAUGAGUAUAUUAGUCACUGUAAAUCAAAACGCUCACCCGAGAUGAUCUAAAAUAAAUUAAAUGGAGUUCAAUGUGUAAAUCUACUAUUGCGUUAAGUUUCUUUAAUUAUUAAAAAAGUAAAUAAAUGUCUCCCCUUCCUUGAUCUUGUGCUCUAUUUAAUUUGAAAAUGAAAAUUCAAUAGAUGAUCGAAUGAUCUUAGAAUUUGAAUAUGUUGAUGAAUAAUUGGACGACUAUAGAUUUUGAGUGUAAUGAAUUUGAAUAUGAAUUUGAAUAUGAAUAUAGGGAAGAUAUUAAAAUUUUCUAGCCAUUUAAUAGAAAUGAGUUGUAUUUGAUUUUUUGAUAAAAUGUAACUGAAUAAGAUUGGGAGGAAGAUUUGGGAUCAUCUCCCAAAUCAUUUGGAUGGGUAACUGAUAUAGAUGUUAAAUAUGUGACAGUAUUUUCCGGAAUAGAAUCUCAUUUGAAAGUCAAUAUAUGUUCUAAAGAAUACUGUUCAAGUUGUCAUGCCUCGAGCCUACACCUUGGACGUGGCCGUCACAUAAUGACCAUUGUUGGCCUUGAGCAAACCCUUAGUCUAGCUUGCAUAAGUCACCGGAAGACUUAACUCAAUAGUAAAUCAAGUAACCUUUAUCAUAAAUUAAUCAAAUUAAUGUCUUGGCCAAACUGACACUUAAGUCUCAAAAUAGAAUAUCUGAGUGCAAAAUAAAGAGAGACUCCAAUCUGACAAUCCGACUGACUACCUGUCUAUGAAGACUUUAUAAUACUAAGAUGAAUUUUGAGACAGACCCACAACAUUCUAACAAAUAAAAAUACCGAAAAACAUACAAAAGGAUCCUCCGAAAUAUAAGAAGGCUCACCAAUAACUCUGAUUGCUCAAACAAGAUCAACGAGACGCUGGGUGCUGAUCCUCGUUUCCUGCGUCUGCAUCAUAAGACGAUGCAGGCCAACUAGAAUCAUUACGUUGAAUGUACGAGUAUGCGAGUUGGAAAGCUAAAGAAGACUUAAGCUUGAAAAAAUAAGAUGAACUUACUUUGGCUUUGCUCAACUCAUGAAUACUCAACUCAAUGCAUAUAUAUAUAUAUCUAUAUAUAUAUAUAUAUACAUAUAUAUUUCUAUACUUUGUCGUCACGUAGAACUCCUUAACUUAGUGGAUACACUGGCUUAACUUACGUGAUAAUCUAAAAAGUAUGACUUGCUAAUACCCAUGAUGGCUCCAUGGUUUACAUGGAGUCUGAAGUUAAUAUUAACUCUCAUCCUCACAUCUGUGCUCAAUACUACUCCCAAAAUAUACUUUAGGUCAUGCUUUUAAAAUAAAUUCCUUUAUUUGGGUUGAGAUAAUUUGCUCAAUACUUUAGCUUUAAAAAGCUCUCUUGGAAUCAAUGUUCCCUUUUCUUGUUAAAAAAUUUAUUGGAAAAUCUUAGUUUCUUCUUAACUUAAUGUAAAAACAUUUAUAAAUUUCUAGAAAUUACUUAGUUCUCUUAUAGCUUUUGAGAAAUGAACUCAACUCCUUACUCUUUACUUGACUUGAAACUUUUUGAUCCUAAUCGACUCUUUAGGGAAUAUUUAGUUCUCUUAUACUUCCUUGAAGGAGAGACUUCAAAUUUUGCCUUCUCUUUAACUCAAAGCUUGAGCCUUAAAAUGAAGUUAAAACGUUUCAAUAAGACUUUUGGAAACUUUAAGAAACUUCACUUUGACUUAUUUCUUAACCUUUUAAACUUAACUCUUAACUUCUUAGACUUUGAUAUUAAGUUUCCUUGAAUUGGAUUAUGGAUUUGAGGUUCAUUAUUUCAUGUUUAUGGAUGAUUUCAUGAUGUUUAGAUGUGCCUUAGAGUGUUGGAAUCGACUAGGAAUUUUAGUACAUCACUUAGGAAUUGGUACGAAAAGAUGGGGCGAAAAUGGGGUCUCCGGGCAUCCGUAGCUCUCUCACAGGCACAGAGCGCCAAAGCUUGACGAACAAAAUCUGUCCUGAGGCGAUCUAGCUAGUGUUACACGCCAAAGCCUAACGGACAGAGACUAUCUUGAGGGGAUCUGGUUGGCGCGGCGCCCAAGGUUCUGUCAGACGGUAUUUUCAUUUUUUUUCUCCAUUUUCAACUCUAAACCUUCUAAACUUCCAUGGAUCUUUCCCCAAUCACUUAGGAUCACUAAUAACCUCAAUGUUUAAUAGAUUAGACUCUAUAAACAACUCAGAACAACAGAUCAAAUUAACGAAAGUCAUACUACAAGUCAACCAACAAGAAAUCAUCCAUUGUUUUCAAGAACUUCAAUGUUCAUCAUUCAAACUACUCAAAAUUUGCUGAAUUUAACAAAUUGGUGUAUGGGUGAACUAACCCAACAUGGAAAUAUCUUACAUACCUUAUUAGGGAUCAUUCCCGACAAAUUCUACUUGACGAUCUUGGCUUCUUGAUGAAUUUUUGAUCUUUCUCCCUUCUCCUUCUUCUAUUUCUCCCAAACCCUAAGCUUGAAUAACUUUUCGAAAACUGACUUAAGGCUUAGUUGUUCCCCUAAUUAACCUUCAAAAUGAAUUAGAAAAUAGUUGGGUGAAAUGACAAGUUUACCCUAACCAAAAUCAGGAUUGGGACCCUCUUCAAUCCAACAAUCCAACUUCUGAUAGGCAUAUCUCGAUCAUAUGAUAUUGAAAAUGGACAAACUCAACGGCGUCAAAACGAUUUCUCCAAGGUAUUUCCAACCAUAUAAAUAACUAACUCUAAAUCAUCCUGAGCUAGAAGUUAUGGCCAUCUGAAAAUGACCAAAAAUCAACUUUUGAACUUAGGAAAGUUUCCAGAUUUCCCUUUUUCUUUCCUUGAGUGAUAAUUUUAGUUUCUUAGCUAUUACUAGUUACGAGAUGUUAGACAAGUAGAGUAGAAAAGAGUAUACGAACCAUUGAAAAUCAAAAGCCUCACUAGAGAUGAUCUCAAAGAAAUUGAAUGGAGUGCAAUGUGUAAAUCUACUGUUGCGUUAAGUAUUACUUUAAGAUAGUAAAUGAUACAGUAAUACUUUGUUCUUACCAUUAUAUUGAUGGAUCGUAUAAGCUGAUUGUCAUUUAAGGCUCAAGAUGAAGGGAUUCAUGUAAGAAACAUUAACCAUGAAUUACACAAAUAAUUUAUAAUAGAAUGAAUGAUGUUGUCACCUUGGUACUCUUAAGAAUGCAGAUCCCUGUUUUAUUAUUUUGGUAAGAAUUGUAACACCUUAAAAAUCCAAGACUCAUUGUAAAUCCUAACAUAGGUUUCAUAAAGUCUUAACACUAUUUUUGAAUCCAUUUUUAAUGAAUAUAGUCAUUUAGGAGGUUAAAGUACGUCCGAGAAGUUGGCUCAAAGGGAUGUUAGUGUGCCUUAUCCUUUUUGACAAACUUUUAGAAGUCGAAAAUGUACGAAAAUGGGUGUAAAGAUAGUUAAUGGGUGUUUGAGUUGUUCCAUGGUUGAAAUGUCUGGGUACGACUCCCCAAGGACUAACAAAGGGCACUUGAGGAGGACCUGUGCAGUUUGAUGCAGCACUGCUUGAUAGUGUGUAUCGAUGGGGUAGAUCAUGGCCCGUGUGUGGAUCGAUGGGGCGUCAAUUCCACCAUCGUAGCACACUUAGUCUUGUGGAGAAGGUCCCUUCACCUGCAGAGUUUCUUGAGUUAUCGACAGAAUACGUAGGUGCAGGCUAUGGUCCGUGUGUGGAUAGACGGGGCGUUGAUGCCACCGUGAUUCCACACUUGGAAAAAUGAAGAAAGACCCUGCCUGCACCAGUCUCUGACCGAGAUUACAAAUGUGCAGCAUGAACCGUCGAUGGACCAAAGAUCCGUCGAUCGUGGUCUCAUCGAUGGGGUCUGCAAAUUCCUGCACGUUUUAAAUUAAAUUCAUUUAAUAAAAUAAGUGGUUUAGGGGUAAUUUGGGAUAAAGGAAGACUGAUUAAGUUUAUUUAGUCCCACUAUAAAUACCUCAACACUCACUAACCUAAAGAGAACUCUCAAAAUAAACUCUCUUCCUUCUCUCUUAUUUCUCUCUAUACAUGAACUCACCUUUGAAGGCUAGUAAGACCUAGGUUUGGGGGUUGGAAAGGGAUGAAUUCACCAUCAAAUUGUUGACAAAUGUUUAAGGUAUGUGUUUAAUUUACCUUUGAUAUCCUUUCCUCAAAGGAUUCCUUCAUAAUAUAUUUCAAUAAGUUGAGUUUUCUUAUGGGUUUCAUCCAAUUACGAAAUUGAAGUUAUGGAUUGAGUUGUUAAUGAAUUCUAGAAUCUGUAUCUUUACUUCCAAUUGUAAUUAAUUGUUGUUAAGUCAUGAUAUUACCUUUGGAGUAUGCCUUAUACUAGGAUUAUAGGAUGUUAUGAUGUUGAAUUAAAAUUUCAUGACUAUAUUAUGAGGUUGAUUAAGGUGUAUGUGAUAUAACUAUGGUGAAAACUAUCAAUAUGCCUUAAUAUGUUAUAAAAUGCUAAUGUGUUAAACUCACUUAUAUGAAUUGCGAUGAAAGGACUUAUAAUCAUACAAUUCUUAUUGAGCUAUUGAUGAUGAUUAUACAAGGGGUAGACCCUAUGACCUAAAUCAUGUUAUUAUUGAUAAUUAAGGUCUUAAAGACAUUUCAAUAAAGGGACUUAGCUUAAGACCGAGUGAACUUGACAAUGGGAGGUGAUGACAUUCCAUAGAGGAAGUAUUACCCUAUAGGUCUAUAAGUGAUGUGGACUCCUCUUUGAGGGAUACUCAUCCAAUGAUUCCCAUGAGGUGAGGCCCCAAUUACUAAAUGGUUUGUAGAGGGAAUACCUAUCUCUUUGUUCCUUAAACUAUGUUGCCACCAUAGCAUACUAGCUAGUGGAUACACAUAGAAAGCUAUGUUUAUAUGAGGUUUUACCUUGGCCGGUAGACCACUUUCCAUCGGUGGAAGGUUUUAUGACAUCGGAUUGCACAUUUAUAUCAUGCGGUCUAUGUCGGCUAAAGCGAGUGUUCCCUAAAGUAAAAUAAAAGAAUGAAGCAUAGACUAACUAUAGUAAUUUGAGGGGUUUGACUUAGCCUAGGUAGAGGUAUGGGACUCUACCUAUGCCUUGCACUAGCUUGCUUUGAUGGGAGCUGUGGGAAGUUAAUAUUAUGUAUAUGGAUGGUUCUAAAUGUAAAUGUUUUUAUAUAAUGAUUAUGACGCUUAUGAACAUGCAAAUGGUCUCAAUGGUCUUAAUUACUAAAUAUAUGAAUUUAUGAAUAUAUGAGGUUAUAUUGUGUGAUGUAUAUGGGAAUUUAUGAUUUGUUACCUUACUUUGCUAUUUAUGUGAUUAAUCUUAUUCAUGAUUAUGAUGAUAUUACUUGGUAAUCGCGUAUACAAUAUUAUGGGUUCAAGCGUGUUGAUAUACAUUUGACUUCCUUAACUAUUGGUUGUGCAUAAGAUCUCAUACUUAGUACAUGUGGAGUACUAACCCCAUUUUCUUCCCUUUUCCCCCAAACAUUUUAUGUUCCGGUUGUUUAAGAGUUUUGGGAGGAAUCAUUGUUGAAGACUUGGAUUCUUCCUUUCAUCCAAGUAGGGUAGGGCCUCAACUCUUGAGGGCAAUGCCAUCCUCUAGCUUUGGAUUUUGCUAUGAACUUAUUAACUCUAUCAUUCCUUUCCUUGUUAUUUGAAUAUUUUACUUUUGUACGACCUAUACAUGGUCUUGUUGAAUUUAUGUAAGGGAUAUUCUCACACUGUGAUAUUUGUUUAGAUGGUAUAAGAUGAGACAAUCAUUGAGACUUUAUUCCAUAUUCUUAUAUAUGUAUGUGUAAUAAAAGUAGAAGGCUAUGUAACCUUCCUAUAUGAAGGGUCUAUGUAUACUCGAUAUGAAUAUAUAUUAUGUGUAUGUAGAGGUCUAUGUAAACCUCCAAGUCGUAAUAAUAAAAGUUUUGAAUUUUUCCAUAUUUUUCAACCUAUGAAUGUUAUGACAUGAAACUAAGAGGCUAGUCUUAGUCCUUCAAAAGGACGACGAUGCCGGUUACGUCUAGGGGCUAAACCCAGAUUUGACAAACUUGGUAUUAUAGAAUGAGGUUGAAUAUCAUUGAGUUAUGUCUCUCCCUCUCUACCACAUCUAUGUAGGUUUGUAUUCAUAAUUGUGAAUCACGCCACACUUAUGAGUAGGAACCUAUAUGAUGCUUAGGAAUCACUCUCUUUUUUGGAAAUCUUAUAUCGUGCCAAUAGAGUAUACUUAUGGUGUGCUUUUGCAUCUAAUAAUAUUGUUGUGCUUAUAGGAAACAUGAACACUCGAAGAAAUUUGGCUCGAAGACUUUGAGGAAGUUGCUAAUGCUGGAGCUCCUCCCAAUGAUGAUCAAGUUCCUCUACUUGAGGAGAAUGCUAAUGUUGAUCAAGCCCUGGAUAACCCUGCACCUAUGACGGAGACGGAGAUGAGGGAUAUUCUUUAUCAAAUGGCUCAAGCCAUGACUACUCAAUCACAAGACACGAUAGUUCAAGCCCAAGUAUGACGGCCCAAGCCAAUCGGAAGGUUGCACCUAGGGUUCAUCAACACGUUUCUACUAUGGCUUCCCGACUUAGGGACUUCACUCGGCUGAAUCCUCCUACCUUCUAUGGGUCUAAGGUUGAUGAAGACCCCAAAAUUUAUUGAUGAGGUAUAUAAGAUACCUUAUGCUAUGGGGGUGUCUACAAGUGAGAAGGCUGAGUUGGCCACAUACCAACUCAAGGAUGUAACCCAAUCUUGGUUUGUGCAAUGGAGAGAUAACAGAAUGCUUUGAGGAGGACUUGUGACUUGGGAGAUCUUCAAGAAGGCAUUUCUUGACCGAUUUUUCCCUACAGUGAUGAGAGAAGCCAAAGUGGUCGAAUUCAUUAACCUUCGCCAAGAGGGUAUGAGUGUUAAUGAUUACUCCUUGAAGUUCAUCUAAUUGGCUAAAUAUGAUCCUUCCUUAGUCUCCAAUCCUAGACGAGAUGAGUUGAUUUAUGACGGGUGUAUCAGAUGACUUACAAGAAGAAUGUCAUUCGGCGAUGUUACAUUACAAUAUGAAUAUUUCCUGUCUUAUUGUACUUGCUAAGAGGGUGGAGUAGUCUAGAUAUAAGAGGAAGGAUAGGGAUGCAAAGAGGAAAAGGUCCUUUGAUGGUGGAACUACAAAGAAUAGGCUUGAGAUUCAAGACAAGCCUAAAUUCAAGAAGAGAUUCUGAAAUCAUGUUCCAUCCAAAUUUCCUAAGGCUAGGGAUGAAAAAACCCCUAGGCCAAAAGUCCAAAAGGGGAAGAUUGGGAGUUCGUUCAAUGAGAAACCUACUUGUGACAAAUAAGGAAAGGGUCAUUUUAGUGAAUGCUUGGUAGGAACGGGGAUUUACUUUGGUUGUGGAAAAAAUGGCCACAAGGUGAGAGCCUUAAUUCUAAGUGGCAAGAGAAGGUUGGACAACCAAGUGAUUCUAGUGAUGCUCCAAAGAAGAUAAACUUCUAUUUUCUUCGUUCUAGGCAUGAGCAAGAGAUCUCUCCCGAUGUGGUGACCGGUAUGUUAAAAAUAUUUACUCUUGAUGUGUAUGAUUUACUUGAUCCGGGUGCUACUUUUUCCUUUGUUACACCUCUAGUAGCUAAAAUGUUUGAUACUUUACCCGAUAUUUUGCAUGAGCCUUUUCUAGAGUAUACUCCGGUAGGAGAGUCAGUUGUUUUUAAAAGAGUCUAUCAAAAUUGUCCUAUUGCAUUGUCCAAUAGAGUUUCUUAUGUUGAUCUAGUAGAACUCGAUAUUCUUGAUUUUGAUAUUUUAUUGUGUAUGGAUUGGUUGCAUGCAUGUUUUGCAUCCAUUGACUGUAGGACAAGAGUGGUGAGGUUUAACUUACCAAAUGAACCCGUUGUUGAUUGGAAGGGGAAAAAUUCUAUUCCUAGAGGUCGUAUCAUAUCUUAUCUAAAAACAUGUAAAAUGAUAUCAAAUGGUUGUCUCUAUCACAUAGUAAGUGUUCAAGAAUUGGAUUUCGAAAUUCCUCCUACAGAGCCGGUCCCCGUAAUGAGUGAAUUUCCUGAGGUUUUUCAUAUGAACUUCCCAGUAUUCCUCCCGAACGGGAAAUUGAUUUUGUUAUCAAUUUGCUCCGGAAACAAAUUCCAUUUCAAUCCCUCCAUAUCAGAUGGCUCCGGACAAAAUUGAAGGAGUUGAAGACUCAACUCAAGGAUUUGCUUGACAAAGGCUUUAUAAGGCCUAUUAUAUCUCCAUGGGGUGCUCCAAUGUUAUUUUUCAAAAAGAAGGAUGGGUAUUUGAGAAUGUGUAUUGAUUACUGCCACUCAACAAGGUCACUAUUAAAAAUUAGUACACUCUCCCUCAGAUUUAUGACUUAUUUGACCAACUACAAGGGGCGAGUUACUUUUCAAAGAUAGACUUGAGGUCGGGAAAUCAUCAACUUAGGGUGAGAGGGGAGGAUGUACCAAAGACGGACUUUCGGAAUAGGUAUGGGCAUUAUGAGUUCUUGGUCAUGUCUUUCGGUCUCACUAAUUGUAACAACCCUAAAAAUGGAUAUGUUAAGUAUUUCUUGAUGUGUCUAGAAUGUCUACAAUUAGACCGGGUCCACACAGAUUGAUGCGCGUAGAAACAGACAUCUGAACCCUUGCGACAUACAAGCCAACUAACUUGGGGAGUUAUUUAAUCUAUUAAAGGUUGGGUCCAGCCAUGUAGGCUCUCGAAUAUGAAGAUUUACUCGGAUGAGCCUUUACCAGACUUAAAAAGGGGAAAUCUUAAGUUUGGAGGGUCUAAGGGUAAAAUUGUCUUUUUUAGGAUAAGGGUAGUAUGUUAUUUACCCUAAAUAUGUAAUUAAUUAUUUAAUUAAUAAGGUGGAGGGGCAUUUUGGGUAGAAAGGGCCGAAAUUACCCAUUGAACAAAAUCUUGCUCCACCCGGUUCGAACCUAGGUGGGAGCAAUGAUUUAAUUUGAUUUAUUUUGUUUGGUGAAUUAAUUUAAUUAAUUAAUAUGUAAUUACUUAUUUAAUUAAAGGAAAAAUCAGAUUUUGAAUACUAAUAUUAAUGAUAUAAUAAUAAUAAUAAUAAAUAAUUUAUAAUGAGGAGUCCUAGUUUAACUAAGUCUUCAGCUAACUCUCCUAAUCCGAAUCCACUCAUUCUCACGUGUUUCUCUACUCCUCUCUCACUUUCACGCUUGUGCAUUCUGUAAAAAAAGAAGAGAACAGAAAUAAUAAAGUUCACUAAGAACUUAAAUGCUAAAAAACUCAAAAGAAAAGUUAGUGUAGAAAUGUAAAACAAAACAAAGUUCUUGAUGGGACUGUGCUUGAAGUUUCGGUGGUGAGGCUUGGUUUCGUGUGAAACUGGCAGCAUUUAAACAAGUGUCGAACGACAUUAAUGUAUGGGUUUCUCUCCUAGACUCCUUUAUCCAAGAGAAUUUCCUUUCCAUGAAUUCAACGAACUUUGUAACUAGGAUUGUUCCCGUUCUUGUCAAACUCCUUGUCCCUAGUAUUCUUUUGAUUUCAAUUUGAAAAGGUUUGAGAUCUUUUUUUUGGUAUGUUUGUUGGUAGUUUAAGUAAGAAGUGUCAUUUUAGUGAUAAUAUGUUCAUGAUUAUGUGUUAGAAAUGGUAAGCAUGUUAAUUUAUUCCAACCGAAAGUAUGUGAAAAGUGAUGUUAGUGUAAAUGUUUGUGUAAAUCAUUAUGUGCAAAAGUGGUGUAAUGUUGAUGAAACGUCCUAAGAUUUAAUGAACAAAUGAUGAUAACAAGGAGCUGAAAAUAGUGAAAAAUUUCCAGCAUUUGGUAGGUUGGGUUCGGCCAUUCAAAGUGGUAUCAAAAUGCAAUGAAAAAUGAAUCUAAAAUAAGUGAAAUCACUAAGGAUUGAACCCAAGACAUCAUUAUAUGAAAGAUACAAAAAAAUCAACAAAAGAUUAAGACAAAAAUGGUUUGGAAGAGAUAAAUUUCUAGCCUGCUAGAAGUUGUCGUCUCGGCCAACUUUUUAAAAAAUGAGCUUCGUUUAAAUUUUUUUUAUAAUGUGAGGUCAUUGGGGAUUGAACCCAUGACUUCACUAAAUGAAUAGUUCAUGAGAAAAAUUCAAGAAAAAAAUAAAUGUGGUGAGUGGGGAUUGAAACCACAACCUCUUGCAUGGAUGAGAGAGUUAGGAGAACAAUAAAGGAGAAAAUAAAUAUGGAGAGUGGCGAUUGAACCCACAACCUGUUGGAUAGGUGAGAAAGUUAAAAGAUAAAUUAAAAGAAAAAAAUGAAUCGUGGGGGAUUGAACCCACAACAUUCUUGAUUUAAAUGAAAAAGAGGAGGAGAAAAAGAAAAGAAAUAUUAUGGGGUUGAUGAGGAUCGCACUAGGGUCCCCCAAAUAUGAAAAAUUAAAUUAUCAAGUUUAGAAUAAGAUCAAGUGUUGUCCAAGGGAUUCAAAUUUGGUUCCCUUUCCCAAUUUCGUAUUUACACAUAAGUCAUACAUAAGUAAAUAUUUGAUGAAUGUUGCCUCUAAAGAUCGAAAUCAAUAUCUUGGCAUAACUACAAGAUGCAUAAGUCUUGUAGCACAUAAUCUUGGGUAAACAUAAAUCACUUAGACAAACUAUAAAUGAAGCCUCAUGGCUUGUAUGUGUGGACUCAUAAGUCUAGCAUACGUUUAAAAGUAGGUGAGCCUAAGAUGUAUGUGAUGAAAUGAUGUAACCCUAGAAGGGUUAAGUAAGAGUGUGAAACACAAUAAAUGGCCAAGUGUAUUUGGUAUAUGAUGAAAUGAACAUUCAUGUGAAGGGGUGAGUAAUUAUGAAAAUCAAAUGUGUUAAAGUUAAUAAAUGAGGUGACAAUAUGAUAAGAGGUUAAUGUGAAAGAUGAGACCAAUCUCAAAUGAGCAUUAGUAAAUGUUACUAAAACGUACUCACCUAUGAGAGUGUAAAGCUAAUGAAGAGACCAAUCUCUGUGAACACUCUAAUGAAAGUAUUGAAGUUAAUGCACACUUAAUACUAAUUAUGAGAUGAUAAAUCAUCUAAUGAGCUAUGACGUCCUCAUGCUAGAACCAACGUCCAUGAUGUAUGAGUUGAAUGUAAUGAAACUUUAUACUUAGCACCGAUAGGCUAGCUAUGAGUGGUGAUGCCUUCCUUCGGGAAGGGUGGAGGUUCUCGUAACUCCCUUGGGAUGAGAUUGUCCGGCAUGCCAGGUAUAGGCCUCCUUAUAUAUCCUAGUCUUUGAACCUAUACUGCCAAUAUAGGGAUCUAGCAUGGUUCAAUUCCCUACAUAAGCUAGCAUGUUUUGGUUCACUUUGGUCGGUGAUUCCACCUCUUUUCGGUGUGGGGAUUACACACUGGAUUUCAUGCUACUCACAUGAUCUAUGUCAGUUAAGGUUAAAGUUCCCAAAGAAAAAAUGAGGCCAGCCUCAACGAAUGCACAUAAUGAAAUGAACGAUACGAAGAUGUUAGGAUGAGAUAAUCAAGAGGUGAGCUAGACUUAAGUAAUAACACUAGGUUAUUCUUGGUCAUUUCACAACGAACCCGAUGAGAGUCUUAAAUACAUCCUAGGUAAGAUUGGUGGCUGCACUAGUAUAUGAAAGAAUGAAAAUCAAGUACGUAUGAAUGAAUGAAGCAGACUCUAUGCUUGUUAAAGAAGGCUCCCUAGUUGAGGUCCCAUAUGUUGAGCCCUUAUUUUGGGAUGUCCUAAUGUCAAGUCCAAGAUUCCGAGGUCUCAUGGCAUAUGAAAGAAUGAUAUGAACUAUGUGAUAUGAUAUGUAUAAUAUGUUAUGUGCUGUUUGUAAAAUGAUAAGUAUGAUGAUGCAUGUUACUCUCAUGGCAUGACUUUCCUAAUCCGAAAUUGGCAAGUCCACUGAGUUGACUUUCCAUAAGUUAUAUCGAUAGGAGAGAGAUCUUCUUAAUCAUGCAUGUCUUUGGUGUCUGCUUGCAUAUACCUUAGUACAAAUGUGUACUAAUCCCAUACAAUUCUAUACUUGUUGGUGCAGGCACAUGCGGACGCGAUAGCUUACAGUACGACGUUACAGCUAUCCCGACGUGGUGCAUUCAUCCGGAUUUGGUAGGCCCUCAUGCUUUUAAGGAUGUUUGCCCAUUAUAUUCUAGCUUAGAUAUAGAAUUGAGUUAGUAGAGUAUGUUCCACUAGCAUUUCUUUCUUAUCUUAUUUCAGACAUUGUAUUGGUGCCAUUUUGGCAAGUAUACACUUAAUGUAGUAUGGAACUAUUUCUUUCAUUUGAUUAUCUUAAUAUUAGAUUGGUUAUUUUGAACAUUUAUGGUUUUAAGUAGAAUGUCUUAAAUGAAUGUUAAGUAACAAAAGUUUCAAAUUUUCUGCUAAAUUAACCUAGAUGAAGUAACGAUAACGUAUGUAGGCUUGUCUGCGACCUUUGAGAGUUCAACAAUGCCGGUCUCGUCUAAGGUCUAGACUCCGGUCGUGAAAAAGUUGGUAAUAGAAAAUUAGUUUUAAUUCCUAGGAUAAUAAGUUCAUAUCAACCACAUCAAGUAGUUUCUAUGUCAUGGUAGUGAAGUGCACCACUUUCUUGAAUUAGAGACUGCAUGAUGUGUAGGAAAAUUCCCUUCUUCUGAUCUUAUCAUGCCUUAUCUAAUGCCUGAUUUCUUGCUGUUAAAAUCAUAUAUAACAUCAACUCUUGAGAUUCAGAAAGAUGAAUAUAAGGAUAAACACAGGAGGAGAGAUUGGAGGAGCAGCUACCGAAGUAAACAAAGUUCCUCCCUAGGGUCCAACUGCUGAAAUGGAGAUACCUGUUAACCUAGCUUGGUUGACAGAUGGAGAAGUAAGGAAAACCCUGGUACAGAUGGCCCAAGUAAUCACCUUAUAAUAUCAGGCUAUGAAAGCCGAGUCAGAGCAAUAAGGUGUUCCCAGGAAGAACCCACCUGCCAGCACCAUGGAUAGUAGGUUAAGGGACUUCACGAGGAUGAAUCCUCACGUUUACACUAGAUGUAAGAGUGAUGAGCAUCUCGAGGAGGAGUGUAGGGAAGUUAUGUUGCAUGACAGCAUGGACCUUUCUAGGCUUAUGGUCCAUGUCAACCAAGUGGAGGAAAGAAGGAAGAGGAAGCACACUAGGGCAGGUAACAUGUAAAGGCAAACUGAGGAGAAUUUUUCGAGGAAGAGUAGAACUGAAAUCACAGAUAAUAUUAGGUUUAUAAAGGGACUCUCCCACGAAGGGGAGUCAAGUUUAUUCAAGGGUCGCUAUGAUAGGGAUUUCGAGCCCAAAGUUAAGAGAAACAGUGAAGUAGAUACACCUCAGGAGAGGCCACCAUGUAGGAAGUCUGACAAACUACAUGGAGGAGAGUGUAUGAUGGGAUCUAACGCUUGUUAUAGUUGUGGAAAACAGGGUCACAUGAUGAAGGAUUGUUCGAAUAAUAGAGGUCAAGAAAAUAAGAAGGAGAAAGUUCAGCCUAAUAGUCCAAGUGAAGAGGCUCCAAGGAGGCAACGAUUCUUCGCACUCAAGUCUAGGGGUGCAAGGGAAGACACUUCUGGUGAUUUCUCGGGUGCAUAGCCUUUAUUAGUAUUUCAUGAGUUUGAAUGUGUACGAUUUUAAGCACUAGUAUGAAGUUAAUAUGUUUGGGUCAUCGUGUUGGUUGCUGAUUUGUGUGACUUAUAUGUUUACUUGUGUUGUAUCCUUGGACGAGACUAGUUUAGGAAAGAGUUCCUUAGUAUAUUAAUGUGAAGCUGCUAGUAGGUUUCAAAUAUGUGCACCACCAUGCUAAUAGUUGAAUCAGAUACUCACCAAUAAAAAGUACUGAAUUGCUUAUGUAUACAUAUGUUCAAUAGAGGAAUGACUUGUUGCUAGUAAAGAGUUGUGUCAUUCGGGGACGAAUGUUCCUAAGGGGGGAUAAUAUAACAACCCUAAAAAUUGAUAUGCUAAGUAAUGCUUAAUGUGUCUAGAAUGCCUACGAUUAGACCAGGUUCACACGGAUUGAUGCGCGUAGAAUCAGACCUCUAAACCCUUGCGACAGCCAAGUCAACUAACUUUGGGAGUUAGUUAAGCUAGGAAAGGUUCCAUCCAUGUAGGGCUCUCAAAUAUGAAGAUUUACUUGGAUGAGUCUUUACCGAACUUAAAAAGGUAAAAUCUUAUGUUUGGAGGGUCUAGGGGUAAAAUGGUUUUUCCAGGAUAAGGGUAGUAUGAUAUUAUCCUAAAUAUGCAAUUAAUUAUUUAAUUAAUAAGAUGGAGGGGAAUUUAGGGUAGAAAGGACCGAAAUUGCCCAUUGAGCAAAAUCUUGCUCCACCCGAGCUCGAACCUAGGUGGGAGCAAUGAUUUUAUUUGAUUUAUUUUAUUUGGUGAAUUAAUUUAAUUAAUUAAUAUUUAGUUACUGAUUUAAUUAAAGGAAAAUAAUAUUUUGAAUAAUAAUAAUAAUAAUAAUAAUUAUAUAUAAUAAUAAUGAUAAUGAUGAUAAUGAUGAUGAUGAUGAUGAUGAUGAUGAUAAUAAUAAUAAUAAUAAUAAUAAUAUUAAUAAAUAAUGAGGAGUCCUAGUUUGACUUAGUCUCCACCUUACUCUCCUAAUCCUAAUCUACUCAUUCUCACGUGUUUGUCUACUCCUCUCUCACUUUCAGACGUAUGCAUUCUGUAAAACAAAAUAACAAAACAGAAAUAAUAAAAUUCAUCAAGAACUUGAAUGCUAAAAAACUCAAAAGAAAAUUUAGUCUAUAAACGUAAAGCAAAACAAAGUUCUUGACUUGAUUGUGCUUGAAGUUUCGGUGGUGAGGCUUCAUUUCGUGGGAAAUUGGCAGCAUUCAAACAAGUGUGGAACGACAUUAAGGUUUGGGUUUCUCUCUUGGACUCUUUUUUCCAAGCGAAUUUCCUUUACACGAAUUCAGCGAAUUUUUAAACUAGGGUUGUUCCCAUUCUUGUCAAACUUAUUGUCCCUAGUAUCCUUCUGAUUUUAAUCAGGAAAGGUUAGAGAUCAUUUUGUUAGUAUGUUUGCUGUUAUUUUAAUGUGAAGUGUGAUUCGUGAUAAUGUGUUCAUGAUUAUGUGUUUGGAGUUGUAAGCAUGUUAAUUUAUGCCAACCGAAAGUAUGUGAAAAGUGAUGUUUGUGUAAAUGUUUGUGUAAAUCAUGAUGUGCAAAAGUUGUGUAAUGUUGCUGGAUUUAAUGGUAAUUCUUGGCUGAUUAACCAUGAAAAAGAUAUACUUAAAUAUGCACCAAAUGAUUCAUGAAACAUCCUAUGAUCUAAUGAACAAAUGAUGAUAACACAGAGUUGAAAAUAUUGAAGAAAUUUCCAGCAUUUGGUAGAUUGGGUUCGGCCAAUCAAAGUUGUAUCAAAAUGCAAUUAAAAAUGAAUGUAAAAUAAGUGAAAUCACUAAGGAUUGAACCCAAGACAACAUUACAUGAAAGCUACAAAAAAAUAAACAAAAGAUUAAGACCAAAAUGGAUUGGAAGAGACAAAAUUUCCAGCCUGCUAGAAAUUGUAGUUUCGGCCAACUUUUAAAAAAAUGAGCUAUGUUCAAAAAAGUUUUAAAAUGUGAGGUCACUGGGGAUUGAAACCAUGGCCUCACUUAAUGAAAAUUUCAUAAAACAUUCGUGAGAAAAAUGCAAGAAAAAAAAAAGAUGUGGUGAGUGGGGAUUGAAACCACAACCUCUUGAAUGGAUGAGAGAGUUAGGAGAAAAAUACAGGAGAAAAUAAAUGUGGAGAGUGGGGAUUGAACCCACAACCUGUUGGAUUGGUGAGAAAGUUAAGAGAUAAAUUAAAAGAAAAAUAAUGAGAUUGUGGGGGAUUGAACCCACAAUCUCCUUGAUUUAAAUGAAAAAGAGGAGGAGAAAAAGAAAGGAAAUAUUAUGGGGUUGAUGGGGAUCGAACUAGGGUCCCCCAAAUCUCAAAAAUGCAAUUAUCAAGUUUAGAAUAAGAUCAAGUGUUGUCCAAGGGAUUCAAAAUUGGGUUCCCUUGCCCAAUUUCGUAUUGACACACAUAAGUCAUACGUAAGUAAAUAUUUAAUGAAUGUUGCCUCUAAAGAUCGAAAUCAAUAUCUUGGAAUAUUAAGUCUUGUACCACAUAAUCUUGGGUAAACAUGAAUCACUUAGACAAACUAUAAAUGAAGUCUCAUGGCUUGUAUGUGUUGACUCAUAAGUCUAGCAUACGUUUAAAAGUAGGUGAGCCUAAGAUGUAUGUGAUAAAAUGAUGUAACCCUAGAAGGGUUAAGUAAGAGUGUGAAACACAAUAACUGGCCAAGUGUAUUGGUAUAUGAUGAAAUGAACAUUCAUGUGAAGGGGUGAGUAAUUAUGAAAAUCAAAUGUGUUAAAGUUAAUGAAUGAGGUGACAAUAUGAUAAGAGGUUAAUGUGAAAGAUGAGACCAAUCUCAAAUGCCUAAGUAAAUGUUACUAAAAUGUACUCACCUAUGAGAGUGUAAAGCUAAUGAAGAGACAAGUCUCUGUGAACACUCUAAUGAAAGUAUUGAAGUUAAUGCACACUUAAUACUAAUUAUGAGAUGAUAAAUCAUCUAAUGAGCUAUGAUGUCCUCAUGCUAGAACCAACUUCCAUGAUGUAUGAGUUGAAUGUAAUGGAACUUUAUACUUAGUACCGAUAGGCUAGCUAUGAGUGGUGAUGCCUUCCUUCGGGAAGGGCGGAGGUUCUCGUAACUCCCUUGAGAUGAGAUUGUCCGGCAUUCCAGGUAUGGGCCUCCUUAUAUAUCCUAGUCUUUGAACCUAUACUGCCAAUAUAGGGAUCUAGCAGGGUUCAAUUCCCUACAUAAGCUAGCAUGUUUUGGUUCACUUUGGUCGGUGAUUCCACCUCUUUUCGGUGUGGGGAUUACACACUGGAUUUCAUGUUACUCACAUGAUCUAUGUCGGUUAAGGUUAAAGUUCCCAAAGAAAAAAUGAGGCCAGCCUUAAGGAAUGCACAUAAUGAAAUGAACGAUACCGAAGGUGUUAGGAUGGGAUAAUCAAGAGGUGAGCUAGACUUAAGUAAUAACACUAGGUUAUUCUUGGUCAUUUCACAACGAACCCGAUGAGAGUCUUAAAAUACAUCCUAGGUAAGAUUGGUGGCUGCACUAGUAUAUGAAAGAAUGAAAAUCAAGUAUGUAUGAAUGAAUGAAGCAGACUCUAUGUUUGUUAAAGAAGGCACCCUAAUUGAGGUCCUAUAUGCUGAGCCCUCAUUUUGGGAAGUCCUACCGUCAAGACCAUGAUUCCAAGGUCUCAUGGCAUAUGAAAGAAUGAUUUGAACUAUGUGAUAUGAUAUGUGUAAUAUGUUAUGUGUUAUUUGUAAAAUGAUUAGUAUGAUGAUGCAUGCUAGUCUCAUGGCAUGACUUUCCUAAUUCGAAAUUGGCAAGUCCACUGAGUUGACUUUCCAUAAUUCAUAUCGAUAGGAGAGAGAUCUUCUUAAUCAUGCAUGUCCUUGGUGUCUUCUUGCAUAUACCCAUACUUGGUACAAUUGUGUACUAAUCCCAUACAAUUCUAUACUUUUUGGUGCAGGCACAGGCGGACGCGAUAGCUUACAGUACGAUGUUACAACUAUCCGGACGUAGAGCAUUCAUCCGUAUUCAGCAGGCCCUCAUGCUUUUGAGGAUGCUUGCCCAUUAUAUUCUAGCUUAGAUAUAGAAUUGAGUUAGUAGAGUAUGUUCCACUAGCAUUUCUUUGUUAUCUUAUUUCAGACAUUGUAUUGGUGCCAUUUUGGUAAGUAUACACUUAAAUGGAGUUUGGAACUAUUUCAUUUAUUUGAUGAUCUUAAUAUUAGAAUGGUUAUUUUGAACGUUUAUGAUUUUAAGUAGAAUGUCUUAAAUGAAUGUUAAGUAACAGAAGUUUCAAAUUUUCCGCUAAAUUAACCUAGAUGAAGUAACGAUGAUGUAUGUAGGCUUGUCUGCGACCUCUGAGAGGUCAACGACGCCGGUUUCGUCUGGGUUCUAGAAUACGGUCAUGACAAAGUUGGUAUCUGAGCAUUUGGUUAAAUUCUGAGAAUAAUAAAUUCACAUCAACCACAUCAAGUUGUUUCUAAGUCAUGGUAGUGAAGUGCACCACUAUCCUGAAUUAGAGACUGCAUGAUGCAUAGGAAAAUUCCCUUCUUCUGAUCUUAUAAUGCCUUAUAUAAUGUCUGGUUUCUUGGUGUUAAAAGCAUAUCUAACAUCAACUCUUGAGAUUGGAGGAGCAGCUGAAGUAAACCAAGUUCCUCCCCAGGCCUCAGUUGCUGAAAUGGAGAUGCUUGUUUUUCUAUCUGGGUUGACAGAUGGAGAAGUAAGGACAAACGUGGUGUAGAUGGCCCAAGCCAUCACCUUACAAGCUCAGGCUAUGACAGCCCAGGAAGAGCAACAAGGUGUUCCUAGGAAGAACCCACCUACCAGCACCAUGGAUACUAGGUUAAGGGACUUCAUGAGGAUGAAUCCUCCCAUUUACACUGGAUCAAAAACUGUUGAGGAUAUUGAGGAGGAGUGUAAGGCAUCUAUGUUGCAUGAUAGCAUGGACCUUUCCAGGCUUAUGGUCCAUGUCCACCAAGUGGAGGAAAGUAGGAAGAGGAAGCACACUAGGGCAGGGAACAUGUCAAGGCAAGUUGAGGAGAAUUUUUCAAGGAAGAUUAAAACUGCAAUCAGAGAUAAGCCCAGGUUUAUAAAGGAACUUUUCCACCAAAGGGAGUCAAGUUCAUUCAAGGGUCGCUAUGAUAGGAAUUUCGAGCCUAGAGUUAAGAGAAACAUUGAAGUAGAUAAACUUCAGGAGAGGCCACUAUGUAAGAAGUGUGACAAACUGCAUGGAGGAGAGUGUAUAAUGGUUUCGUAUCCAUUGCGUCUCCAUUGACUACUUUUACCCUAAAAAGUAAAAAGUUUGAGUGGUCGGAGGUAUGUGAUACGAUCUUCCAAUUGUUGAAAGAUAGGCUUACUUCCGCUCCGGUGUUAACCUUACCGGAGGGUACAAAGAGUUUUGUGUUGUAUUGUGACGCAUACCGAGUGGGUUCAGGGAGUGUGCUUAUGCAAAGCAGGAAGGUGAUAGCUUAUGAAUCUAGGAUACUAAAGGUACUGGAGACAAAUUACCCACUCAUGACCUUGAAUUAGCGGCCGUGAUGUUUGAUUUAAAAAUUUGGAGGCAUUACUUGUAUGGGGUUCAUGUGGAUGUUUUUACCGAUCAUAAGGGUCUCAAAUAUGUGUUUACCCAAAAGGAGUUAAAUAUCCAACAAAGAAGGUGGCUUUAUUUGUUGAAAGAUCAUGAUAUGAGUGUCCUUUAUCACCCCGGCAAGGAUAAUGUAGUUGCGAAUGCCCUAAGUCGGAUGAUUAUGGGUAGUGUAUCACAUCUUGAUGAAGCCAAAAAGGACCUAGCAAGGGAAGUGCAUAAGUCUGCUAGGUUGGGGCUGAGGUCGGAGAGUUCUCCGGAUGGGGGUGCCCUUGUUCAUCAUAAUUCUGAGUCAUCUUUAGUGGUUGAGGUGAAGUCUAAACAACACCUUGAUUUAGCCUUGAUGGAGUUGAGCAAAACAGUUCUUGGCAAGUUGAAUGAAUCAUUCUCCUUAGGAGGGAUGGUGUAUUAAGGUACCAAGGGAGAUUAUGUGUUGAUGUAGAUGGGUUGAGGAUAGGAUCUUAGAAGAAGCACAUGGGUCCCACUACUCAAUUCAUCCAGGGUCGCCAAAAAUGUAGCAUGACCUAAGUGAAAUAUAGUGGCGGGAAGGUCUAAAAAGGGACAUAACAAAAUUUGUCGCUAAGUGUCCGAAUUGCCAACAAGUAAAGGCCGAACACCUUAGGCCGGGUGGCUUACUACAAGAGAUGCAAAUUCCGACUUGGAAGUGGGAAGACAUCAAUAUGGACUUUGUAGUAGGUUUACCCUGGACCCAAAAGUCCUAUGAUUCUAUAUGGGUGGUUGUGGAUUGAUUGACUAAAUUCUAUCUCUUUAUUUCCAUCAAGUCUUCAUAUUUGGCGGACGAUUAUGCAAGAAUCUUCCUAGAUGAGAUUGUGUGCCGCAAUGGCAUUCCAUUAUCCAUUAAGUCGGAUCGGGGCGCACAAUUCAGAUCUAGAUUUUGGAGGUCGUUUUGAAAAAGGGUUAGGUACUAUGGUGAAGUUGAGCACCACUUUUCAUCCCUAAAUGGAUGGUCUAGCGGAGUGUACGGUAAUAACCCUUGAAGAUAUUCUUAGUGACUGUAUUACUGAUUUUAAAGGGAGUUAGGAUAGGCAUUUACCUUUAGUGGAGUUUUCCUAAAACAAUAGUUUUCAUUCAUCCAUUUACAUGGCUCCCUAUGAAGCCUUGUAUGGUAGGAGAUGUAGGUCUCCUAUUGGAUGGUUUGGAGUAGGUGAGCCAUCGCUUCUUGGUCCCAAGUUGAUUUAUAAGACUUUAGAAAAGGUUCAUAUCAUAAGGAACCGGUCGCAAACGGCCUAUAGUCAGCAAAAGUUUUAUGCCGAUAAUAGGAGAAGGGAUUUGGAGUUUGAAGAAGGUGAUAAGGUGUAUUUGAAAAUUUCAGCAAUCGAAAGGGUGGUUAGAUUUAGCAAGAAAGUGAAAUUGAGUCCUCAUUAUGUGGGUCCCUAUGAAAUCAUGCAAAGGGUUAGUAAGGUUUCCUAUGAAUUGAAACUUCCUAAUGAAUUAGCUUCGGUUCAUCCGGUUUUCCAUGUUUCUAUGUUAAAAAAGUAUAUCUGUGAUCCCGAGUCCAUUCUUCCUAUUGAGGGUCUUGCGUCAAGGAUAACCUUUCUUAUGAGGAAGUUUCGAUUCAAAUUCUUGAUAGGCAAGUCAAGAAGUUAAGGAAUAAAAAGGUUGUAUCCGUAAAAGUGUUAUGGAAAAAACAAUUAGUUGAGGGUGCUAGAUGUGAGGCCGAGGCUGAUAUGAAGUCCCGUUGUCCUCAUCUUUUUGAGAAUUAAGGUUAGACGUUCUUUUUUAAUUAUAUAAUUAUGACUAGGAUAUGCGGUUUCUUUAUUUUUGGUGAAGUGGUACAAAAUGUAAUUUUUGAAAACUCACAGUAAGUUUUACAGUGAAGUCACUAUAGUAUUGCUAUUAAAAACUUGAAAUUUUUCUUUUUGCUUGCUUUGAGUUAUUUAUGCAUUUUGAUAUGAUGAGUCUUCAUGAAAUGAUAGGUUGCAUGUUGUUAAGUUGAACUUUAUGCUACUUGACUCAUAUAAUGUAUGUUGAACUCAUAAGUGUUGUGAGAAGGAAAUGCCUCAUGAUGAAGUGUUUUGAGAUUUAUGUAUAGUAAUAUGAGUUUUGAUAUUUGCCUUGUUGAAAUGUCAUGAUUUAUGUUGAUUUGAUAUUGUUGAUUGGUUGGGAUGAUCGUCUUGGGUCUAUUCCUUCCUUCAAAAGAAUUUUAAUGUCAUUCGGGGACAAAUGUUCCUAAGGGGGGAUAAUGUAACACCUUAAGACUCAUUGUAAAGCCUGACAUAGGUGUCAUAAAGUCUAAACAUUGUUUUUAAGUCCAUUUUAAUUAAUAUAGAUCAUUUAGGAGGUUUAAGAACCAAAACGUCCAAAACAUCCGGGAAGUUGGUUCAAAGGGAUGUUAGUGUGCCUUAGCCUUUUUGACUAACUUAUAGGAGUCAGAAAUAAAUGAAAAUGGGUGGAAAGGUAGCUAAUGGCUUUUUGAGUUGUUCCAUGGUUGAAACGUCUGGGUACGACUUCCGAAGGACCAGCCAAGGGACCUUGAGGAGGACCCCUACAGUUUGAUGCAACACUACCCAGCAGUGUGCAUCGACGGGGCACACGAUGGCUCGUGUGUGGAUUGUCGGGGCGUCGAUGCUACCUCCGUCCCACAUUUAGGCUGGCGGAGAAGGUCUUUUCUCCUGCACAGAUUCUAGAAUCAUCGACGGAAUACGGAGGUGCAGGCUACGGUCCAUGUGUGGAUCGAUGGGGCGUCGAUGCCACCAUCGUCCCACACUUAGAAAGAUAAAGAAAAACUCAGCCUACACCAGCCUCUGACCAAGCUUAUGUAUGGGCUUCACGGACCAUCAAUGGACCAACGGUCCGUCUAUCGAGGUCUGCAAAUUCCGGCAUGUUUUCAAUUAAAUUCAUUGAAUUAAUUAAGUGGUUUAGGGGCAAUAGCGAAUUAAAGUAAUACUAAUUAAGUGUUUUUAGUCCCACCACAAAUAUCCUCAGCCCUCAUUAACCUAAAUACAACUCUCAAAAUAAACUCUCUUCCUUCUCUCUUAUUUCUCUCUGUACGUGAACUCACCAUUGAAGGCUAGCAAGAACUACGGUUUAGGGGAUGGAAAGGGACGAAUUCACCAUUAGAUUGUUGACAGAUCAUUAAGGUAUGAGUUCUAUUCACCUUUGAGAUCCUUUCCUCAAAGGGUUCCUUCAAAAUAUAUUUCAAAAAGUUGAGUCUUCUUAUGGGUUUCAUCCAAUUACGAAAUUGAAGUUAUGGAUUGAGUUGUUAAUGAAUUCAUAGGGUUAUAUUGAGUAUAUUAACAUGUAAUUCAACUUUUCUGUGUUAAUUGUUGAUGAUUUGGUCCAAAUUCAAGAAUAUGAUCCUCUAUCCCUAACCCUAGGUAGUGAUAUUGACCUAUAUUGAAUUGUGAUCAUUCAAUUGCGUUGGUUGUUGAUUUGAUUACUAUCCUAUGGUGAUAUUAUGAUUAAAUUAAUAUGAAUUAUAGGACUAUCAUGUUAGUUUUUGAGAUGUUAUUUUGGUUAUGAAUUAUAAUGUGAAAUUAGCCUAUGUACCUUGUCUCAAGUUGUGAUCUAAAGAUGAAUUGUGUUAUAGAGAUGCAAUUGACUUUGUUAUUCUAUUGGUUAUCAUUGUGUGAUGAUGUUACUCCCCAAGUUGGGUUAAGUUAGGGGUUGAUGGUAAGAACUUGAUGAUAGACUAUGAGGAAGACUUGGUAAGUCUUAGAAUCUCUAUCUUUACUUCCAAUUGUGAUUAAUUGUUGUAAAGUCAUGAUAUUAACUUUGGAGCAUGCCUUAUACUUGGAUUAUAGGAUGGUAUGAUGUUGAAUUGAAAUGUCUUGACUAUAUUGUAAGGUUGAUUAAGGUGUAUGUUCUAUAAGGAUGGUUAAAACUAUAAAUAUGCCUUAAUAUGUUAUGAAAUGCAAAAUUUUUAACCUCACUUAUAUGAAUUGUAAUGAAAGGACUUAUACUCAUACAAUUCUUAUUGAGCUAUUGAUGAUGAUGAUUAUACAAGGGGUAGACCCUAUGGUCUUAAUAUGGUUAUGAUUGAUAAUUAAGGGCUUAAAGACAUUUCAAUAAAGGGACUUAGCUUAGCAUCGAGUGAACUUGACAUUAGGAGGUGAUGAAUUUCCAUAGAGAAAGUGUUACCCUAUAGAUCUAUAAGUGAUAUUCACUCCCCUUUGAGGUAUACUCAUCAAAUGAUUCCCAUGAGGUGAGGCUCCAAUUACUAAAUGGUAUGUAGUGGGAAUACCUAUCUCUUAGUUCCUUAAACUAUGUUGCCACCAUAGGAUACUAGCUAAGUGAUCCACCUAGAAAGCUAUGUUUAAAUGAGGUUUUACCUUGGCCGGUAGAUCACCUUCCAUCGGUGUAAUGUUUUAUGACAUCGGAUUCCACAUUUAAAUGAUGUGGUUUAUGUCGGUUAAAGAGAGUGUUCCCUAAACUAAAAUUAAAGAAUGAAGCAUAGCUAACUAAAGUAACUUGAUGGGUUUGACUUACCCUAGGUAGGGGUAUGAGACUGUAUAUAUGCCUUGCACUAGUUUGCCUUGAUGGGAGCUUUGGGAAGUUAAUAUUAUGUAUAUGGAUGGUGCUAAAUGUAAACGUUUUUAUAUGAUGAUUAUGAUGAUUAUCACCAUGCAAAUGGUCUUUAUGUUAUUAAUUACUAAAGAUAUGAAUUUAUGAAUAUAUGAGGUUAUAUUGUGUGAAGUAUGAUACUAAUUAUAGUUCUUGUUGGGUGACUUGAUUAAAUAGGGUUAUGGGUCUUUACUUUAUCAUUGCACUUGUUAACUCUAUGGGAAUUUAUGGUUUGUUACGUUACUUUGCUAUUUAUGUGAUUACUCUUAUUCAUGCUUGUGAUGAUAUUACUUGGUAAUCGAGUAUACGAUAUUAUGGGUUCAAGCGUGUUGAUAUACAUUUGACUUCCUUAAAUAUUGGUUGUGCAUAAGAUGAUACUUAGUACAUGUUGAGUACUAGACCCAUUUUCUUCCCUUUUUCCCCAAACAUUUUAGGUUCCGGUCGUUUAAGAGUUUUGGGAGGCGUCAUUGUUGAAGACUUGGAUUCUUCCUCUCAUCCAAGUAGGGUAGGUCCUCAACUCUUGAAGGCAUUGCCAUCCUCUAGCUUUGGAUUUUGUUAUGAGCUUAUUGACUCUAUCAUUCCUUUCCUUGUUAUUUGAAUAUUUUACUUUUUUACGACCUAUACAUGGUCUUAUUGAAUUGAUGUAAGGGCUAUGCCCACAUUGUGAUAUUUGUUUAGAUGGUAUGAGAUGAGACAAUCAUUAAUACUUUAAUCCAUAUUCUUAUAUAUAUAUGCAAUAAAAGUAGAAUGCUAUAAAACCUUCCUAUAUGAAGGGUCUAUGUAUACUCGGUAUGAAUAUAUAUUAUGUGUACAUAGAGAUCUAUGUAAACCUCCAAGUAGUGAUAAUAAAUGUUUUAAAUUUUUCCGCAUUUUCAACAUAUGAAUGUAAUGACAUAAAACUAAGAGGCUAGUCUUAGUCCUUCAAAAGUACGAUGACGCCGGUUAUGUCUAGGGGGUAAACCCGGAUGUGACAAGAAUGAUCUUGAAAUCUUGCUUUUAAGCCAUGACACAAGAUAGAUGAAUAUCAACGUGAAUUUCAUUGACUGUACCUUUUUAGCUUAGUAUAUUAUGAACUCAUGUACUCAAGGCUCUCUUUUUGUGUGCAUGAUCCUUAGCUUUGCACCUCUUAAUUUAUUGGUCAACCACGUACGAUGCUUAUGAAGAUGAAUUCACUCAUUUUUGUUUUGUAUCUUUAUAAUAUUGCCAAUACCCCUGGUGUAACAACUGAUAUUUUCCAAAUGGACAAGGUUUCCUUCAAAUGAAGUUUUGGAAUAUCGAAAUUGGAGCAGUAAUGAAAAAUAGAGUUGUCAAGUUAAAGGUCAUUGAAAUUGAUGACAAAGAAUCAAUAAAUACUGCACUAUCAUUAGUAGUGCAUGUUUUUCGCAAAAAAAAUCUCCAUUAAAAGAUACAAUUGAAACAAUACCACCAUUUAUAAAGGGAAAUAACGAUGAUAUCAAACUUUUUUUUGAAUUUGAAAUUUGGUAGACAACUGGCUUCUUAAUCUUUUGCGGAUCUAAAAUUGAAAGGGUAUACAUAUUCUCCAUCCUCAUUGAAGAUAGAUGAAAUGUUGAAAUAAUAUUCGAGCAUGUGACAAUCAAUGGAAUUUCCACUGUACUUGAGUUAAAAUAUAAAAAAGGCUCAUCUUCUUAGGUGAUUGGAUUGUUUUCUACACUAGAAAAUGUAGUACUCUUCAUAUCGUCUUUAGCUAGUAAUUGUGAAAGAUUUUGUUAUCUUCUGUAGACUCUGAUGAUAAGAGUAUAACCUUAGCUGAAAACAUAAACGCCACAAAAAUUGUAAUAAUCGGACAUAAUUAAUUAUCUUGCAUCACAUACGAGGAGAUUGUCUUCAAGUAACUUGUAUUCGCCUUCAUAAAUACACAUUAUAAUCAGUCCUAUAGUAUAUAGUUUGAAGAAAAGUAAACUUUUAAAAUUAUAAAUAUUUUACGCAGUACACACGAUAGUUGGUGAUGAACUGAAUCAAGUAAAAUACGAUAUCGAAAUACUAAUACAAACUCAUCAACUCGGUGUUAGUUGAUUGCAUUUACAUCAUAGAUGAAGAAGUUUUUUCAUCUCUACUAACUUGUCAUGAUAAAUCUUUAAAUUCACUAAACAAUCAUAUACACUUUCAAACCUUAUACACUCCUCAAUGUCAAAUUAUUCAGGGUCAAUUAGACAACUUUUAUGUAUGUUAAUAUCAAUUAUUAUUCCAAUAUCUACAAAAAAAGCUCUCUUAGAUCUUCAAAAAUACAUCCAACCAAAGCUAAAUAACUUAUAAAACAAAGAAAAGGAACAACUUCACAAAAAAAUUAAUCUAAACACCUCAAUCUCGUCAUCCAAGCACUGAUAAACAAUUUGCAGCUAUAUAGAUUCUCUUGUAUCAUACACUUCCAUUUCAAUCAAAAGAUAAACUACGCGAAGUAUAAAGUCAUAUACAUCCUCAAAUACUCAUCCAAAUCAAAGUUAAUACAAAUAAAAAUUCAGUGAAUCGUAUAAACAACUUUAUUUGCCUUUCAAAAAAAUUUCUUCUUGAUUUAGUCACAACAUGUAGAUACCCUUCUCCGAAAGAUCCAUACAUAGUUUCCAUCCCUCUUUCCUAGUCCGUAUAAGCUUGCUUAUAUGGUAAGUUAUUGUAACAGCUCGUAACUUGAAAUAACUAAGAUUAAGCUAAGAAACAAAGAAUAAUCAUUUUUGGAAAUAAAAAGAGAAAUCUGGAAAAUUUCAAGAUUUUAAUUUUCCAGAUUUUAAAAGUGAGUUUUUUGUUAUUUUCAAACGGUCAUAACUUCCAACUUUGGGUUCGACAAAAUUGUACCAUGAAUUUAGGGAAGUAUUUGGUGGGAAGGUUUGAAGAAGGACAUAGCAGAGUUUGUUGCUAAGUGUCCAAAUUGCCAACAAGUGACAGCCGAACAUCAAAAGUCGAGUGACUUACUACAAGAAAUUCAAGUUCCUACUUGGAAGUGAGAAGACAUCAACAUGGAUUUUGUAGUGGGUUUACGUAGGACUCAAAGGCAAUAUGACUCUAUAUGGGUGGCUGUGGAUAUGUUGACCAAGUUCGCUCACUUUAUUCCCAUCAAGUAUACUUAUUCGGCGGAAUAUUAUGUUAGUAUCGUCAUAGAUGAGAUUGUAUGUCACCAUGGUAUUCCUUUAUCCAUCAUAUCAAAUCGGGGUUCACAAUUCACAUCUAGGUUUUAGAGGUCAUUCCAAGGAGGGUUGGUUACUAAUGUGAAGUUGAGUACCGCUAUUCAUCCCGAAAUGGAUGGACAAGAAGAUCGUACUAUUCAAACCCUUAAGGAUAUGCGUCGGGCUUGUAUUAUUGAUUUUAAGGGAAAUUGGGAUAAGCGUUUACCUUUGGUGGAGUUUUCUUAUAAUAAUGGUUUUCAUUCAUCCAUCUCCAUGGCUCUCUAUGAACCCUUGUAUGGUAGGAGGUAUAGGUCUCCUAUUGGAUGGUUUGAAGUGGGUGAGUCUUCGCUUCUUGGUCCUGAUUUAAUUUUUAAUACUUUGGAGAAAGUUCAUAUCAUAAGGAACCGGUUAAAAACGGCCUAUUGUCGGCAAAAGUCUUAUGCCGAUCACAGGAUAAUGGAUUUGGAGUUUGAAGAAGGUGAUAAGGUGUAUUUAAAAAUUUCACCUAUGAAAGGGGUGGUUAGAUUUUGCAAGGAAUGGAAGUUGAGUCCUUGUUAUGUGGGUCCCUAUGAAAUCUUGCAAAGGGUUGGUAAGGUUGCCUAUGAAUUAAAACUUCCUAUUGAAUAGGCUUCGGUUCAUCCGGGUUUUCUAUGUUUCCAUGCUUAAAAAGUGUAUUGGUGAUCCCGAGUCUAUUCUUCCUAUUGAGGGUCUUGGUGUGAGGGAUAAUCUCUUUUAUGAGGAAGCUCCGGUUCAAAUUCUUGAUAGACAAGUCAAGAAGUUAAGGAAUAAAUGGAAGAAUCAACUAGUUGAGGGUGCAACAUGGGAGGCCGAGGCCGACAUGAAGUCCCAUUACCCUUAUAUUUUUGAUAACUAAGUUAGUAAUUCUUCCUAAUAAUGAAAAUAAUGACUAAAAUUUAAGUUGCUUUGAUUUUGGUGAAGUCUUGCAAAAUGUGCAUUUUUUAAUUGCUUUGUAGUGACUUAUAGUGAAGUUGUGCGUUUGAACUUGAAAUUUUUCUCUUUGGAUUGUUUGAUUUAUAUUGUGCAUUUUGAUAUGGUGAGUCUUUACGAAAUGAUAUGUAGCAUGUUGGUAAGUUGAACUUCGACAUAAUUGACUCAUAAAUGCUAUGUUGAGCUCUUUUUGUUGUGAGAGGGAUAUUCCUCAUAAUGUAGUGUUGAUCCUUAUGUGUGGUAAUUGAAGUUUUGAAUUGCCUUGUAUAUGAAAUAUGGUUGAUGUUGUUAUAUAUUGUUGUUGGUUAGGCUGCUAGUCUUGAGUCUAUUCCUUCCUUCUAAAAUUUUUUAGUGUCAUUCGGGGACGAAUGUUCCUAAGAAGGGGAUAAUGUAACAUUUUGAAAAAUCCAAGACGUUUUUUAAUCCUAACAUAAGUUUCAUAAGGUCUAGACAUUGUUUUAAGGCCUAUUUUAAUGAAUACAGGUCAUUUAGGAAGUCUAGAAAUCAAAAUGUCCAUGAGUUCAAGGAGGUACUAGAGUGCCUUAGCCUAUUUGGCUAGCUUUUAGGAUUCAGAAAAUGGUGAAAAUUGGUGAAAGGGUGUCUAACAUGUGUUUAAGUAUAUUCAUGGUCGAAACAUUCGGUACGACUCCCCAUGGACCAACUAAGGGCAUUUGAGGAGGACCCUUUCAAGUACUGCCUGGCAGUGUGCACCCACGAGAGGGAAUCGAUGAGGCGUGUGUGGAUCGAUAGGGCGUCACUUCCAUACAUCGAUCAACACCUGGGAAAAUCCUUGAAGGACCCCGAUUGCAUAGUCUAUGAAUCAAACGGCAGAUGUGCAUCAUGAAAGGGCACAGUGACCAUCGAAUCACACAUGGACCGUCGAUCGGGGUCUUGUCUGUGAUAGUCCAUUUUCCCGCACGUUUUAAAGUUAGUAUUAACUAAUUAGUUAAAGGGUUCGGUGGUUAGUUAAGUAUUAACGGAAGAAUAAUUAACUUAAUUAAUGCCCCAUAUAAAAACCCCAACCCCAUUAGUCUAAUUACAAAUCUCAAAAAAAAGAUUCUCUUCCUUCUCUCUUCUUUCUCUCUCUGUUGGAAGACGCCACUGAAGACUAGGUAGGGAAGGGAUUCGGGUGCAGUAGAGGGAUGAUUUCACCAUCUGUUCUUCAUUGAACAUUAUGGUAUGGUAUAUAAUUCACCUUUGAGACCUCUUUCCUCAAAGGGUUCCUUCAAAGUAUUUUCAAAAGUUGAGUUUUCAUGUGGGUCUUUCUCAAUAUAAUAAAUUAUGUUAUGAAUUUGGUUGUUUUUGUUUUGUAGUGUACAAGAAGGUCUUUGCCGAUUCCUAUCAACAUGGUGCAUCUCUUAGUAGAGGGGCGUGAAAAGUGGAGACUUUUGAUAAAUAUGUAUUAUAACCUAAUUAUGAUAUGUCUUGAUGGUUUGGUCUAGUUUGUAAAUGAUGACCCUUAACCCUAGGUUUGAUCUUUACAUGAAUUAGGUUGUAUUUGGUUCAAUUAACUUGGUUAUUGGUUGAAUUUCUAUUAAAUGAUGUUGUUACACUAAUCAUGAACAAAAUUAGGGUGAUUGUUAGUCUUUCAUGCUAGUUCUUGAGAAGGUGAUCUAUGUUAGAAAGUAUGUUGUGAAUUGACCUAAGUAUCUUGUCUUAAGCUAUGAUCUAGUAUUGAAUUGUGAUGUAGUGAUUCUUCUAGUCUUGUUAUCAUGUUGAUUAUUGACUUAUGGGGUGUGUACCCAAAAUUUGGUUGAAUUGGGUUUAUGGUAAGACCUUGAUGAUGAACAAUGAAGGAUACUUGGUAAGUCUUAUGAUCUCUAUCCUUUACUUCAAAAUAUGGUUAAUUGUGAUUAAGCCAUGAUGUUGUAUUGGAGUAUGCGUUGUAUUAGGAUUGAUAGGGCAGUAUGAUGUUGAAUUGAAAUGUCUUGAUUAUGAUUGUGAGGUGUGGGUUUAAGAUGUAAAUUUUAUAAGGAGGGUGAAUGAUUUACCAAUGUGUCUUAUCAUGAUAUGAAAUGUUAAUGUGCUAAAUCACCUAUAUGAAUUGUAAUGGAAGGACUUAUACUCAUGCAAUUCUUAUUGAGCUAUGAUGAUGAUACUUAUACUUAGCACCGAGUGAACUAGAGUGAGGAGUGUCCCUUCCCACUUAGGGAAGGUAGGAUCACUAAUGUACUCUUGAGAUUAGAGACUAUAAUGCAUGUAGCUUAAAGAUGGUCCCAACUAUAUCUCCUAGUUCUUGAAGUAUGUUUCCCCCAUAGAAAUACUAGCUAGUGGAUCCACGUAGUUGCUAUGUUUCAUGUUUUGGUGUUACCUUGGCAAGUAGUCUGCCUUCCUUCGGUGUAGGGUUUUUUGACACCGGGUUCCACAUUAGAUCAUAUGGUUUAUGUCGGUUAGGGCAAGAUGUUCCCAAAAGGUAAAAUGAACUAACGGAUUGAACUCUAAGUAUGAUAACCUAGGGUCUAGCUUAGUCUAGGUAGGGGUAUGAGACUCUACCUAAGCAUUGCACUAGUUAUCCUUUAGAGGGUCUUAGGAAGAUGUUCUUAUGUAUGAUUAUGCUUAUAAUAUUAUAUGACAUGUAUAUGAUGAACUUGUACAUUGUUUAUACUAUAUGUUGAUUAGUUCACUUAGGAUAUGUGUUGGUUUAUAUGGUUAACAUAAGAUGAUAUGUACACCUAAAUGCCAUAUUAUGUGAAGUAGGGUGUUAGUUAUGAUUCUUAUUGAGUUACUUGAUAAAGUAAGAUUAUGGGGCUUUGCUUGGUCAUUACACUUGUUGACUUGAUAGGGUUCAUGGGUAUUUGUCUUUCUUUGGAUAUAAUGAAAUGUACUCUUAUUCAUGCUUAUUAUUAACAUGACAUGAUGGUAGAAUUACUUGAGUACGUAUCUACUUAUAUGAUAUGUAUGGUUGACUUGACUAGACUUGAUGUUGUACUUCUUGUAAUGUACAUGCCUAUGACUUAAUGAAUAUACAAUAUUGAUUGGUAUGGUCUUGUUGAAUGUGCAUAAAGGUUUUAAAUGAAAAGUGCAUACUUUAUGAAAUGUCUUUUUUUCUUAGCAUGAUUUCAAAGUAUGUGUGCAUAUGGUGUCAUACUUAGUACAAUUGGUGUACUAACCCCAUUUCUUCCUUUCCCCCCAACAUUUUAGGCUCCGGUCGUUAAAGUGUUUUUGAAGGCGACUUCAAGAAGGCUUUGAUCUUUUCAUCAUCUAAGUAGGGUAGGUACUUAUUUUUUGAGGGCGAUGCCAAUAUCGAGCUUAUCAUGUUAUUUUAUUUCUUAGACUCUUAUGUUCUAUCUCCUUUCAUUUGAGUACGUAUUAUAUAAAGCCUAUAUGUGGCUCUCUUUCUAUUGAUGUAUUGGAUAUGCCCAAAUUUCUAAUCAUGUUAGAUGGUUAUGAGAUGAGAAAAUCUUUGAAGAAUAUGUUCUUUCUUAUAAAUAUAUUUAUGUUCAAUAAGAGUAGAAGGCUAUACAACCUUCCUAUAUGAAGGAUCUAUGUAUAUUCGAUAUAUAUAUAUAUAUAUAUAUAUGAUAUGUGUAUGUAUAGGUCUAUGUAAACCUCCAAAUAAAAAUAAUAAAAAGUUUUGAAUUCUCUGCUAAAUUUGACCUAUGAAUGUAAUGAUGUAAACUAAUAGGCUAUUCUUAGUCCGCAAAUAGGUUGAUGACGCCGGUUAUGUCUAGGGGGUAAACUGGGAUGUGACACAUGUAAAACCUAAAAUCUUCAAAUUUGCUAUAUUAUGGGUGUUAUGAUCAUGUCUCAAUGCUUGUGAAAUCUAGUGUAGUUUUCCUUGGGCUAUUGAAUGAUGUAACAAUUGUAUUAUAUUGAUGUAUAAGCAGUCUUAGAUUGAUAAAUCUAUGUUGAAUUGAUGAUCAUGGCCAUGGGUAAGGGCUUUUGGUAUGGUAUUGGAUGAUUUGGUAUGGAUUGAAGUGAUGAGAAUAGAUUGGUGGCACGCUGCCCUAAAUCUUUUAUAAUUAUGUAAAUAAGGUCUUGAAUUAUGUUGUGAUUAGUAUGAUCCACUUGUGGUGGCGGUGCUAUGUGAUUUACUUGUAACUAAUGUGACCUCGUCAGCGUCACUUUAUGUAUUAUAAUAAUCAUGGCCUUGUCGAGAAAUUACUCGACAUAUUAUGAUGGUUUGUGUAGUUGAUCUAUGUGAAGUAUGAACAUAUAUAUCUACAUGUGAUUAAGGUGAAAAUAUGUGUUCUCUAUUGAUGUUGUUAGGUGAUUAUGUUAGACUAUGACUAUGUCUUUAUGUGUGUAGUCUUAGAGUGGAUGCAUGAUUCUUCCUGAUUGACUAUGUGAUCCUUAUGAUGGUUAUAUUGAUGAUAUUAUAGAAGUAUGCAUGAUGACUAGUAAGUAUGCUUAGUUGACCCUAUGUGCUUCUAGAAUAAUAUGUUAUAUGUGAAGUAUGUUGUGUCUUGUUCUGGUAGACUUGUGUCCAUUACUUGAUACAUGUAUAAUGAGAGUAUUACUUAUUGACUUAGGAUGAUAAAGCUCUUAGGCUUGUAUGUAUGAAUGAUAUGUGACCUUUAAUGUUGUUAAGAAGGUCCAUUAUGUGGAGCCUUCAACCUAGUUAUAAGGUUAUGAUAUCCUUGAAGUCGAAAGUCGUAAUGGUAUCCUUGUGUGAAUGGUGGACGUAGGGAUUGAUUGGCUGUAACAACAUGAAAUCAUCCUUAGAAAAAUCAUUUAGCUAUCCUUUUAACCAUUGUAAGGCAGCCCUAGGGGACUUCUUUGCUAAGGUAUAAUGUGAUUGGGUUAUCAACUAGAUAUGGAACAUGUUCAUGUAUUCCUUUAUUGAAAUAGUAUGUAAGAACAAAGGCUAGCACCGAGUAAGUAUGCAUGGGUAGUAGCUCUAGUUAAGUAUGAGACUAGAGUACAAAGGAACCUUCGAUAUUCCUUAACAAUUUGCCUAUAUGGGAUGUGUCAAGUUCUACCAUUGGCAACUAGAAAACCCUUUUUUAGAGUAGGUUACAACUCCAGAUUCCAUGUUUAGCUACCAUGGUCUAUGUGUGUUAUUGCUUAUUCUCAUAAUAUGGGAUACCCACUAGUAUUUGAGAAGUUCUAUGAAGUUUAGGUGUUGGUAUGGGACGCUAUCUAGACAUUGCACAAUAGGCUUUGAAGAUGUUACUUAGAUAGUCCCUAGGUCUUCUCCAAGACCAUUACUUGAGUUUCCUUAUGUGAUGAAUGUCUCUUGAAUGAACUAAUGAAUUAAGUUGGAAAGUAUGUUAAUGACUAAGUACUUACCUAGAGUAUUUUAAGGGUUGCUUAGUUAAGGUAUGAAGGGGGCAUAGGAAUGGUUAAGAAUGACUCUAGAUAGGGAAAAUAAUCUUGAAUAAGUAGACAUGAUCUAAACUUAGGUAGUCUUAAGGAUUAUUUAGGUAAGCUUGGAGAGGGUGUAUGGAUGUUCUCUUCUUGCAUUACUUAAGUAACUCUUCUGGAUAACCUUUGGAAAGAGAAUUCCAUAUUAUAUGUAUAUUAUUAUAUGAAGUGAGAAUGAUUCUAUGCUAGGUAAUCUAAAGGAUCCUUAGGUGUGUGUGAAGGGAUUGUAUGGGCGGUCGCUUCACAACUCACCCAAGUGAACCUUAGAAUCACCUUUGCUAGGAGGACCUCAUGUAUAUGUGGUUGGUGUAUUGUAAGUGUAUUUAUCUCAUUAUAGGUGGUCUUAAGGAUCAUUUAGGUGUGCCUAGAGAGGGUGUAUGAGUGGUCUCUCUUUGUCUUACUUAAGUGAGUCUAAAGAUAUCCUUUAGUGAGAGGGUUGUAUGCCAAAAUAAUUCACUGUAAGGUUGGGUUUAAUUCACUGUAAAGUGACUUAGUUCACUGUAAUGUUCCUUAAAAAGUUAGAAAAUGCCUAUGUGAUAUCUUGUGUGUGUCUAAGGUGUUAAAUGUUGUUUUUAUGCUUAUGAUGUGACGUUUUAAAUCAAAAAAAUGCAUAGUUCCAUUAAAUGUCUGUUUUCAUGAUUUUAUGCAUUAAGUCAUACUUAGUACAAGUGUUUGUAAUAAUUCCGUACAUUUUUUAUAUCUUAAGGUGUAGGUGUAAGGUGAGAAGGAUCUUGAAUAAAAGCUUGGAAUCUAAUUAUUGUUCAAGCAAGGUUGAAGUAUGUCCUCACUUGACAAAGGGCAUGAUCAUCUGUCUUUUAAAUUUAAAGUAUUGUAAUAUACUAAGUAAUUCUAUAUUCAUAUUGUAUGGUCCAUUUCUCAAGUAUACUUGAGUCUAAGAUUGACAUAUGUUGAGUCUUAGUGUUUUCUAUGAUUUUAAUAUGAAAGAUGUUUUAAGAUAUUUCGUGUGAAAAUUUUUAAUUUCGCACUACUUUCCACACAUGUAUGCGAUGAAUGAUGUUAAAAGGAUUGUACAAGAUCUCUGAGAGGUCAAGUACGCCAUUCCAUGACCUAAGAAUACCUUAACUUCUAGGGUAUACAUGCGGGUCGUGACACCAUGCGAUUCAAAAACAUCUCUUUCUCAAUCAGGAGAUUGUAAAAAGAAGAACCAAAUAACAAAACAACCUGUAGUUCAGAGCUCCACUCAGACUCCAACAACUUCUUAAUGUUUGUGCACUUUAAAAACAACUUUUCCUCUAAUCAGAAGGUUGUUUCUAACCCUUAUAAUGAAAUCAUCUCGACUAGAAAGUAACUCUAAGCCAUUUUAAGAACUCAAUUAGAAGUUAUGAAGAAAAUACAAAUUCCGAUGUGAAAAGGAGUAACUCUCAAACCAUAUAUAAUCGAAUAAUUAAGGAAUGAAAAGGCACAAAAAUAAAUUAAUAGAGUAAUACAAAUUUAAGACAUUACAGUUAUAUAUCAACUCUAAGCCAUUUUAAAAACUCAAUCAGAAGUUAUAUAAAAAAAAUGCAAAUUAUGAUAUGAAAAGUAGUAACUAUCAAACUACAGUUUCAAAUCAAGAAAAUAAAGGCAACUAUGAAAUUAUCUCGACCGAAAAGCAACUCUGAAAGGCAAUAAUAAGCCAUUGUAAGAACUCAAUUAAAAGGUACGUAGAAAAUCCAAAUUUGAUAUGAAAAGGAAGGAGAAACUAUCAAACUAUAUAUAAUCAAAGAAUUAGGGUACGAAAGAGAACAAAAAUAAAUUAACACUAUGACCCAGAGAUCAAUACAAAUCUAAGAGACUUGAUUGGCUUAAAUUACACCUCCUAAAGAAGCAUAAGAGAUUGUUAUCAAGUGAAGAACUCAACUAGUAGGUUGGGGUCGAUCCCAUCAAGAAAAUGAUUUAGACUUAACUUUAACCCACGAUAAUCUCUUUUUAGUCGAGGUAUUUCCGAAGCAAUUAAUAAGGGGGAGGGGGUUGUGAAACAAGUUCCUUCAAUUAUGUGAUUAUCAAGUGAACAAAAUAAAACUUUGGUUGUUAUCAAUAUGAGAAAAUAACUAGGGUAUGUGUGUUCCCCAUAAGUUCAUUGUUGACACCCAAUUUUGGCCUAUCAUUUUCAAAAUUCGUGACUUAAUUUAUUUAAUUGUUCAAAAUAAUUUAUUUAUUUAUUUUUUAUAAUUUUUAAUAAGUUUAUUGAUAACUAUCAUUAUUUCUCAAAUUUAGAAUUUUGUAUCAGUUAAUUUUAAAAUAACAUUGUUUACAUGUCAUUAGUUGCGUUCAUUAUAUUUUUUUAGUAAUCAUCUUAUUUGUUACAAUGGUUGAUAUUUAUUUUGAUAUUCUGCUCAGUCUAAGAAUUUUUUCAAAUAUAGAUAAAAUUUGCACCGAUAAUUUUGGACCACAAUUUCAAUCAUACACAUUUUAGCCCUCUUCCUUUUCCCACCUUUUCAACCCAAAAAACCCACCUCUAUUUAUUACCAUUUUCCAGCGCAACAACUACCCACUUAGCCCCUUUCCUUCACUCUUCCAGCAUCUAAAAACGACCAGACAAACACCAAAAUCCUCCGGCAACCUUCAAAUUGAACCCCGACCAGCCCACAUUUUUUCAAUAACCAACAGGUUACUAUCGUUCAACGCAACCAGUAGCUCUGAUGAAUCAGAGCUAAACAACAAAAAAUCCCUUCCCCUUCCCCUUAACAUUUUUUUUCAUUUUUUAGGUGUUUCCGGUCAAGCUCCGACCAACAAGCAACAACCAGCCCAUCCGAACAUCAGCGAACGUUCAACAACCAACCAAGAAGGCAUGGAAACAUGCCUGAGAAUUAGCCAGAUAUGUCCAGAAAAAGCUUUUAUUUGUGACAUUUCUCAUUUUUACUGUUUUGUAUAUAAGCAUAUAUGUCGGUAUAUUUCAUGUUUCUAUUAUAUAUAUAUAUUCCUUAUUUUUACACAUAUUAUUAUGGUGAAUUAUUUGUUUUUGUUUGUGGUUUUGAAUGUUAAUUUUAUCACUAUUUCUAACAGUUCGUUAAUUGUCUUGAUUGUUUUCAUAAGCCACUUUAUUAGUGUUCUCUUGUGAUAAAUUUUAGUUUUAACCGAAAGUUGUAUGAUGAGUCUGACUAUUACUAAUUUUGUUAAUGACUUUGGGUACAUGUAUUCCUGCUUUUAUCUUCUUGACAAAUAGUUUGAAUAUUUUAUGUGUUCAUGGGUUGUUGCUAUGUUAUUUUCUAAUUAUUGCCAUAUUAAAUAUUAUGUUGCAAUUGUCUUAAGACUUGGAAGGGAUUUAAUAGUAGUUUGAAUUUUGAUGAGUAUAUGUUAAUAGUAUUUUAUCAUUCUAUUUGUUGCUAUUUUAACUGUGUAUUGCUCCCUCUUAGUUCUAAUAUAUAUUAAAUUGUUAUUUUAUGUACAUCUUAUUUCUUUUUGAUUUAUUCUUUCCAUGUAUAACAAUUAAUAGAUUGUUCCUUUUUGCAUUGUUGACUAAUAGUAUCUUGCUCCAUUUGUUUUGUUACUAUUAGGUCUUAAUUCAUGUUUAUUAUUGAUUAUUUUAUCAUUUGUGAAUGGAUAUUUUAUUUGUUUAUUGUUGAUAAUGUUUAUAUCUUUGACUAUUUUAUUGUUUGUUAGCACCUGAAAAAAUCUCUCCGUCAAUUUUUUGGCCUUUUCAAUAUUAAAAGACGGAAAUUUAGUUUAAGUUCAUAUUAUUUAUUUUGCUAAAAUUGGUCGAUGAAGAAAUUACCAUCGAUUCUAAGGUCUCCCAUGUUAGUGAGACGAGUUUUAUUUUUAAGUUAUUAUUUGAGUUAUUCAUUUUUUUAUAUUCAUUUAGUACUAACUCUUUUACUAAGUGUCGUUACAAGUACACCAAGGUUCUUUCGAUCGAAGUUAUUCGAAUAAAUUCAAAUUAUAAUUGUAUUUAUUAUUGUAUAUAUUAUUUGCGAUAGAAAAACUUAGGCCAUUUCUUACUAUUGUUUUAUUUUAUUAUUUGUAUAUAUUGCAUUCUUAUUAUACUUGUUUAUAAUUUUGUUUCUUCCUCAAUUUUAAAAAUUGAAUUCAGUCGAGACCAUAUUUGUGGAUUUCGAAGGGUGGCUAACACCUUCACUUAAUUGUUUCUUAGUUUUUUUCUAAAAUUAGGUGGCGACUCCUUUAAAAUUCAUUUAUUUCUUAAAACUCUUUUAAAAUUGAAUCAAUUGAUAAUUUUUUGAGUCACCACGACGUUUCACCCUAUUUGAAUAGAAUAGGGAUGUAGAAGAAUGGAGACUCUGCUGGGGACAUAGAGGUUCUAACCAAUAUGAAUUCAUUUUUUCAAAUUGAGGAGUGUUUUCUUUUACUGUAUUAUACCUUAUAUUUUGUAUAUUUUGUUGAUUAUUUGUAUAUUGUAAUGGUUGUUUAUUCAUUAUUCAUUUAAUUGUAUACAUAUCAUCAUUGCAUUUCGUCACAUAAUUUCUGUCAAGUGACAAAUAGAAUACAUUAGGAUAAAAGCGAUUACGUGGUUUUCCACAACUGUCCUUCAAAAAAUCCCCUUUGAAUUCUUUUGAAGUGAUAAACGAAUAGUUGACUUGUGUUCAUCUAACGAUGUUUAUUAUACUUCACCCCCUAAUUUGUCCGACUCAGGUAACCAGGUCUUUUCUAAACCACUCUUAAUUAGCUAGCGUAGAGAGAAAAACACCAAAUCUCAAUUUCUAUCACAUUUUGAACUAAGUCGAACCAACACCCAAGGCGUGUUGGGCCCAUUAGAGGCCCUCCUUGUGUCUAUUUGGCCUAUUGAUCAAUAAAAGACAAAUCAAAAUUAUGUGUUUAAAUUUGAAGGAUGUAUAAGACAUUUGACAAAUCAUUGUCACUCGGGGUUGGGGAUUUAUUUUAAUGGCUUACUCUUGUUGAAUGAAUAUUUUCACAAGUUAACAUUUCAUCCAAAAGGUGUUGGCAUCCAAAGAUGACAAAUGAUUCAAGAAGUAAGGAAGGGCCUUCUAGAAGGUUUAGUUAGAAUUAAACCCCUACGUAGGAUUGAUUAUUUGUAUUAUCUUUUUCUUCUUUUCCUUAUUUGGUAAUCCUAUUUGAAUCAUUCAUAAAAUUUGUAAUGCAAUGAUAUGUUAUCAAAGGACGUAAUUCAUCUUUCAUAUCGAUAGGUGUACCCUUGGCAUAAAAGGGUCACAUAUUUGUAUAGGACGUGUAUGUAAUAAUUUUUUGUAUGCUAUGUGAUGUAAUUGAGUUGUCUUUAAUUAAAAAUAGUGCUUAAGUGUUAAUUAAUUCUUGGUGUGAUGUUUGCAUUAUCCAUUAUGAACACAAGCUAACACUUUUACCUUUUGAGUUUUUCUUCUCUUUAAGCUAGAGAUUGAUUUAUGUUAGAAUUUGAAAGUCAUUGUUCGUAAGAAAUCGCAAUAGACAAGAGGACUCACAAUAUCUCAUUUUUUGUAUUUCACAAGACAUCAAUAUCGAGUCAAAAAGACUAAUCAGGGGAGUCAUUGACUAUGAAGUCACAUUUCUUUAUUUUAUUUGUUUUUUUAUUAUUCUGGUCUUGCUUUCACACAUUUCUUAUAUUUUAGUAGGAAAACCAUCCUUGAAAAUAGUUGGGGAUGGUCAUAACAAUGCAUUUCGUGAAUAAUUGGGAGAAGAAACAAUUCCAAGGGACAUUUAGAAAAGAAUACAACAACAAGUGGUUAAUGCGAGAAAAAGAAAAAGAAAAAAAACACAUUCAAUAGAUAGUACAAAGGUUCACAGUUAAGAGGAUACAAAGAAAUGUUUUGAGUUUGUCUAAAUUUUAAAAUUAUAUGAUGUCACAUAUGCAGGAACUAUGCAUACCUGAUUUUAAUCUUUUUUGAGAUACGUAGGCAACCCUACUUGGGUUCGGUAUUCAAUAUUUCAAGUUAAAAAAAAUUGUGCAUAUAUUCAAAGAGAUAUCUGAACGAACUACGCGAACCUGAUUCUCAUUUCUGUGAGAUACGUAGACAUUCCUACUUGGGUUCGGUAUUCAAUAUUUCAAGUUAAAAAAAUUGUGCAUAUAUUCAAAGAGAUAUCUGAAUGAACUACGCGAACCUGAUGCUCAUUUCUGUGAGAUACGUAGGCAUCCCUUCUUGGGUUUGGUAUUAUUUUUUCCAAAGUAAAAAAAAUAAUAAAAUAGUUUGUGCAUAUUUUUAUAGGCAUUAUGGAGAGGAUUGACUUUAUGGUAAAACGUAGAUGCUUGAAAUUUCUUUUGCAUGCAUUCAAGAUAAGAAUAAAACCAACCUUAUGUUUUUAUGGAGAGGAUUGACUUUAUGGUAAACCGUAGAUGCUUGAAAUUUCUUUUGCAUGCAUUCAAGAUAAGAAUAAAAUCAACCUUAUGUUUCAUGUGCAUUGUGUGGUGCGAAUUUAGAGCAAAAUUCAAUUGUAUCGCAAUGUUGAUCUAAAACAUGGCAUGAAUCUCAUCGAGGCGAAAUCCUGAGUAGUCUUUAGUUUGAAAAAGGAUUUUAGGCCUUUUUUGACCCGUUAUGCCUUUCAAAGCCUACCAAAUGACAUAAAUCCCUAGUUUUUCCACUUUGAGCCUGAAACCUUUCAUUGAACAACCAGAUUUUAGCCAUUACCUCUUUGAGUUUUUACAUGCACUAUCCUUCACUUGGCCCAGCCUUCUUGAGUGCACCAAGAAUCUGCAAGUUAUAAGAGAACAUCCAUGUUUGAAUUUCCAAAAGCAAAGAUAUCGAUUCUCCAAAAGUCAAGGAAAUAAAAAAGACUUCUAGAGAAAGAAAGAAAGAAAGAAAGAAAGAAAGAAAGAAAAAAGGUGAAAGAAAUAAAGAAAGAUAAAAAUACCCCUACAAGGUCAAUAAAAAAAAUACUCCAAUAAAAGAGGAGAAAAAUUCAAAGAAAAGAGUGAAAUAAAAGAAA